rnacentral:lncRNA from 1 species
GAUGAUAUAUUAUACACGUAAAUAAAAGUUUUUAUGGAUACAUUAUCUGUCCUAACUCAUUUAAACUGCGUUUGUGUAUUAGCUAAAUAUGUGCGGAACGAGUUAAGUAUUAAAAUUUAAACGAGUUUGAAUUAGUAUGAGUAUUUUCAAAUAAAUUUUAAACAAAUUUAGGAUAAACAUAAGUAUCCAAGUUAUAAAGCAUGUUUGUUUAUAGAUAGUACAAAUUUUGAAAUACCCACUACUUGCAUUCCACGCCUACACUUUGUACACCAAAUCAAUUUGUCACGACCCAUUUUCGUGGGCCGGACCGGCACUAGGACCUGGAUGGGCUUAAGGCCCCCGAAGCCCGUAGUAAGCCUAAAUUAUUUAAAACUCAUAUGCUAUUCGUAAUUGUGGAUUCAGGACCAAUAAUUUAUUUCACAAAUAUAUCCAAAUAAUAAAUGUCUAUACUUUAUUUAUUCAUUUACAACUCAGUUGGAAUACAAUUGCGGAACUCUACUCCAUAAUUCACUAUUCUUUGCAUUUACAUAUUUAAUACAAUGAUUAUUACUCUUAUCGAUCCAUAUCUCGUUCAUUCAAUUAGACUCCACGAUUCUUCUUUCCAUCUAUUACCUGGGGAGGGUUGGAGGGGGGUGAGUAUUAAACUCAGUGAGUAGAAUUAGAUAACUCUCUCACCCCACACAAUCAUAAAAAUGCUAAAAUAAUUUUAUGUGGUCACCCGUUAAAUUAUGUGAUCAUGCAGUUUGGCACACAAAUGGCAAUACAACAGCAAUCACAAAUAUUAUCACCUUCAUAUAAUCACAUCACGUGGAAAUUAGUCAGUGGAGUCACCGAAACCCGAUGAGCCGUCCUCCCACAUGGCCCAUCCUCUCACAUGUGCACCAGGGAGCCAAUCCCCCAUUCUGGCCGACCGGUUUAAUCCUCACACAACCAGUCCUCUCAUUAUUUUUCCAGUCUCUCUCUCUUUUUUUUUUUUUUNNNNNNNNNNNNNNNNNNNNNNNNNNNNNNNNNNNNNNNNNNNNNNNNNNNNNNNNNNNNNNNNNNNNNNNNNNNNNNNNNNNNNNNNNNNNNNNNNNNNNNNNNNNNNNNNNNNNNNNNNNNNNNNNNNNNNNNNNNNNNNNNNNNNNNNNNNNNNNNNNNNNNNNNNNNNNNNNNNNNNNNNNNNNNNNNNNNNNNNNNNNNNNNNNNNNNNNNNNNNNNNNNNNNNNNNNNNNNNNNNNNNNNNNNNNNNNNNNNNNNNNNNNNNNNNNNNNNNNNNNNNNNNNNNNNNNNNNNNNNNNNNNNNNNNNNNNNNNNNNNNNNNNNNNNNNNNNNNNNNNNNNNNNNNNNNNNNNNNNNNNNNNNNNNNNNNNNNNNNNNNNNNNNNNNNNNNNNNNNNNNNNNNNNNNNNNNNNNNNNNNNNNNNNNNNNNNNNNNNNNNNNNNNNNNNNNNNNNNNNNNNNNNNNNNNNNNNNNNNNNNNNNNNNNNNNNNNNNNNNNNNNNNNNNNNNNNNNNNNNNNNNNNNNNNNNNNNNNNNNNNNNNNNNNNNNNNNNNNNNNNNNNNNNNNNNNNNNNNNNNNNNNNNNNNNNNNNNNNNNNNNNNNNNNNNNNNNNNNNNNNNNNNNNNNNNNNNNNNNNNNNNNNNNNNNNNNNNNNNNNNNNNNNNNNNNNNNNNNNNNNNNNNNNNNNNNNNNNNNNNNNNNNNNNNNNNNNNNNNNNNNNNNNNNNNNNNNNNNNNNNNNNNNNNNNNNNNNNNNNNNNNNNNNNNNNNNNNNNNNNNNNNNNNNNNNNNNNNNNNNNNNNNNNNNNNNNNNNNNNNNNNNNNNNNNNNNNNNNNNNNNNNNNNNNNNNNNNNNNNNNNNNNNNNNNNNNNNNNNNNNNNNNNNNNNNNNNNNNNNNNNNNNNNNNNNNNNNNNNNNNNNNNNNNNNNNNNNNNNNNNNNNNNNNNNNNNNNNNNNNNNNNNNNNNNNNNNNNNNNNNNNNNNNNNNNNNNNNNNNNNNNNNNNNNNNNNNNNNNNNNNNNNNNNNNNNNNNNNNNNNNNNNNNNNNNNNNNNNNNNNNNNNNNNNNNNNNNNNNNNNNNNNNNNNNNNNNNNNNNNNNNNNNNNNNNNNNNNNNNNNNNNNNNNNNNNNNNNNNNNNNNNNNNNNNNNNNNNNNNNNNNNNNNNNNNNNNNNNNNNNNNNNNNNNNNNNNNNNNNNNNNNNNNNNNNNNNNNNNNNNNNNNNNNNNNNNNNNNNNNNNNNNNNNNNNNNNNNNNNNNNNNNNNNNNNNNNNNNNNNNNNNNNNNNNNNNNNNNNNNNNNNNNNNNNNNNNNNNNNNNNNNNNNNNNNNNNNNNNNNNNNNNNNNNNNNNNNNNNNNNNNNNNNNNNNNNNNNNNNNNNNNNNNNNNNNNNNNNNNNNNNNNNNNNNNNNNNNNNNNNNNNNNNNNNNNNNNNNNNNNNNNNNNNNNNNNNNNNNNNNNNNNNNNNNNNNNNNNNNNNNNNNNNNNNNNNNNNNNNNNNNNNNNNNNNNNNNNNNNNNNNNNNNNNNNNNNNNNNNNNNNNNNNNNNNNNNNNNNNNNNNNNNNNNNNNNNNNNNNNNNNNNNNNNNNNNNNNNNNNNNNNNNNNNNNNNNNNNNNNNNNNNNNNNNNNNNNNNNNNNNNNNNNNNNNNNNNNNNNNNNNNNNNNNNNNNNNNNNNNNNNNNNNNNNNNNNNNNNNNNNNNNNNNNNNNNNNNNNNNNNNNNNNNNNNNNNNNNNNNNNNNNNNNNNNNNNNNNNNNNNNNNNNNNNNNNNNNNNNNNNNNNNNNNNNNNNNNNNNNNNNNNNNNNNNNNNNNNNNNNNNNNNNNNNNNNNNNNNNNNNNNNNNNNNNNNNNNNNNNNNNNNNNNNNNNNNNNNNNNNNNNNNNNNNNNNNNNNNNNNNNNNNNNNNNNNNNNNNNNNNNNNNNNNNNNNNNNNNNNNNNNNNNNNNNNNNNNNNNNNNNNNNNNNNNNNNNNNNNNNNNNNGUUUACAGGCUGUCGGUUCAUUAAAUUUAAUUGGAAAAUAUUUUGAAAAUAAAAAUUCGGGUUGUUUCACAAUUAAUGAUUUUUUAUUUAUUUAUUACUAUUUUGUCUUUAGUAUGAUAAGAAAUAAUUUUGUUAUAAUUAAAAAAAUAUAUUUUAAUUAAUUUGGAGCAUGCGUGAACUCAUACAUAAUGAAUAUAUAUAUAUCUAUAAUACAUAAUCAGAAAUAAAUUUUGAUAUCUAUAAUACAUUUAGGCCAAAUAUAUAUAUAUAGUUUUAAGAAGAAACUCAGCAUCCAGUCAAAUAGUAAUAAAAAAAAAGAGAAAUUUUCAAAAAUUUCUAGAAAAAUAGAAUACUAAAUGGAGAAAUUUUUACUUCAAUUUUGUACUGUUAUGAAAACUAAGAAAAAAAAAAAAGAUGAUUGUAAAGAAAAGUAAUGUAUAGAAAUGUAAAGGAAAAUAUACAUAAAUAAUUAGGAAAUAUAAAAAAAUUAAAAAAAACCAAAUCCAUAAAUUAUCUUAAGUAAAUACAAAGUCCCAGUAAGGAAAAUUAUAAAUCUAUCAAUACUAGAAAAUUUAUUUUCAAAGAGAAAAAAAUUAAUUAAUAAAUGAAAAAUUAGGACAUCUGUGAAAAAAGAAAAACAAUGCUCAAAAGUUAUUAAAAGUUAAAUAAAAUUUAUAAAAAAAAAGAAAAAUUGCUCAAAAUGCAAGUCAGUUUUUUAAUGAUUUUUUUUUGGUUUCUGGAUUAUGUAAAUAUAUAGAUAGAUGGGAUAAAAACGGCAGAUUCACUAUACGUUUUAAGGGGGUGGUGUUUCCUUACGAUACUCUUAAAACCCUAUCACAAUCGGACGGUUCAAAAAUCAACACUCUUAAACCCUGAUUCUCUUUCACUACGCAGCGCGAAUUCCCGGCAUUCACCGCCGGCGAACGGUUACUGAAGGUCGCGCUAUGUCCAUUAAGCUCCCUCUUCAGCUCCGCUUUCUCGGCCCAUCUUUUUCAGCCACCCGUCUUCCCCCCAUGAAAUCUCUCCUAUCAGUUACAUCCUCCCGGGGCGUCCCCAUUUUGUCUCGGAUCUUCCCCUUUAGACUCAAAUACGUGGGUUUUGGCCCUUAUCCCAAUUCGCAGGUAGGUGUUCGCCGAUUCUCGACUCGGCCAUUUCGACCCAGACAUGGGUCAGGCUCCCAGUUCAGACGCGGCGAACGUGACAGAGGAGAUGUGGGAGCUUCAAAGAGUCUGAUUGAAGAUGAAGCUGAACUCAGUGACUGGGUCAGCGAGUUGAGUACCAGCUCUUUCCGUGGCCGAGUCACGGAUGGCGAGUCAGAUUCUGAUAUCUCUCGUGAUAGAGUCAGCAGCGGCAGAGAUAGGGACAGGGGCCAAGGUAGAAAUAGAGAAAUAGGAAGGGAAAGAGGUAGAGAUAGAGAUGGCUUUUCAACGAAGAGAAGAAGGAACGAUAUCUCGGACGAGUUUGGCCAGCCAGAUAGGAGGAGACCCCGAGGUCAAGCUGAUUCGUUUUCGAGGAAUUCACGGGUAAGCAAGCGCUAUGACAUUGAUCGGGAGAAAUUCACUUUUCAGCGAAAGAAAGUUAGUAAUACCGGCAUAAUGAAUGGAACGAGAGGAGAUGGAGGGGUGAAUUCAGGGUUUAGGAGAGAUGUGAAGGGGUUAAGGGAACAAAGGGGUUUUUGUGUUGAUGAGGAAGAUGAUAGGGACAUUGAUGACAAUAAUGGGGAUGAGAGGAAGGAGUUAAUGGGUCGUCUUCAGGAUUUGGCUGAUGAGGAGGAGAGUGAUGAUCUUGAUGAAGAUGAUCAUGAUAAUGAUAUAUUAAAGAUAAAUGAAUCUUCUUCGUUUGGAUUGGACGGGAAAGAUAGGCCAAGCUCCCCUGGAAAUUUCAAUUCUUAUUUAAGCGAGUCUAGGUAUGUUAUUACAUAAUUUUUCUCUCUUUCUAAUGCUUAUAGCUUUUUGUCAACAGCGAACACUUAAUUUCUCUAAAAUUUCUGCAGAUUUGAUCAGUGCUCAAUUUCUCCAUUGUCAUUAAAGGGAAUCAAGGAUGCAGGAUAUGAGAAAAUGACUGUAGUUCAGGAGGCCACUCUUCCAGUUAUACUCAAAGGUUUAUUUUUUUUCUACAUGGUCUAGUUCCUGUGUAUGUUUGUCAUGGAUUGCAGUUUGUCGUGUUUUUUUUACGUAAACUACAUGGUAUUGAUCAAAUUGCCUUCAUUUUAUAUUACUUUCUUAUAUUUCUUUCAAGCAGCUCAACAGCACAUUAGCUAUAUGAAUCCUUUCGUCUCUUUGUGAGCUGUUUGGGGCCAAGAUGACAAAUAUCCCACCUACAGCUCAAUCUUGAAUCACACAUUAGCUACCUUUACUAUGAUUUGGUUUGAUUGUCCAUAACAAGAUAGCUAAUAUUUGAUUUUUUUGCCAGGUAAGGAUGUUCUUGCUAAGGCUAAAACUGGAACUGGGAAAACUGUAGCAUUUUUGGUAAGAUUCCUUAUUUGAUUAUGCAUUCGCGUGUGAUGGCAUUGUUAAUCAAUGGAAGACCAUUCCUUCAAACUGUAGCAUCAAGGACCUAGAAGUUUUUCUAAAUGCUAUGUACACUUAUAAUGCAAAAUUGUUCUUAAGGUAAAAAGUUGGUAAUUUGAAUACAGAGUUGUUCAUAACUAUAGUGUCUGUGAAUAUAGGUAAUUGUUGAACUGAUGCAUAGUUGUUGAAAUGUGAGGAUAAUAUUUAUGCGUAUUGUUUCCUUCUAUGAUUAUUUUCCUAUAGUCAAUUGCUAAUGGUGUUUUCCGCCCUAAAUAGCAUGAAUAGACCCUCUUAUGCAUUUGGAUUAAGUUGGAUAAAACAAGUCAUGUGAAAUUGCAUAUUUUUUUCUCAUCCAACGUGGCAUGAAAUGAAUCACCUUACCUCCACUCCAGAGAAGAAAUGGCAUGAAUCGCCUUAGUCAUGUGAUUUUUCUAAGAUCCUGAACUUUUGUUAACUAAAAUUGACUCUCUAAUCAGCUUCCAGCAAUCGAAAUAAUUGUCAAAUCUCCUCCUAUCAGUCGUGAUCAAAAACGGCCACCAAUACUUGUGCUUGUUAUAUGCCCAACUCGGGAACUUGCAAGUCAAGCUGCUGCAGAAGCAAACACCUUAUUAAAGUACCACCCUUCUAUUGGUGCUCAAGUUGUGAUGGGAGGUACAAGACUUGCUCUUGAGCAGAAGCAAAUGCAAGCAAACCCUUGCCAGGUUAGUUUAUAUUUAUGGAUAACAUUCAACAAGUAUCAAAUUCGGUACAUUUGACUCCUUUCGAUGCUUCUUUGCACAAAGUGUUGGAACAAUCUACAGGUUUUGCCUGUUCGAUAUGUUGUCAAACUGUUGCAAAGCAUAGAUGUCCUCCUAGGAUGAGAUGGGCAAAAUAAUUCAAACUUAAAUUCACUUUAAAGUCUAUUAAUUUCAAUCCAAGGUUACUAACCAAUUAGAAUAUGAGUUAUAAUCGCCUUGUGCUAGGCAAAGUACUUUCAAGCAUUAGGACUCGAGAAAAUGGAUUAUCUAAGGUUGGAUAUUGCUACACUUCUCACAUGUAUGAAAUUCACAGAUUCUUGUUGCUACACCUGGAAGGCUUAGAGACCAUACUGAGAAUACUGCAGGUUUCGCAACAAGGCUGAUGGGUGUGAAAGUCCUUGUACUUGAUGAAGCUGAUCGUUUGCUAGACAUGGGCUUCCGUAAAGACAUCGAGAAAAUAAUUGCUGCUAUUCCAAAACAAAGGCAAACACUUCUGUUUUCUGCCACAGUUCCCGAAGAGGUUUCUUUUUAUCUUUUGGUGUGCCUUUAACAUUAGUGAGAACUGGAUAGAAGUUUUGAAUAAGUUGUUCAAUUUGAAGGUUCGUCAAAUCUGUCACUUUGCUUUGAAAAGAGAUCAUAAAUUCAUCAAUACAGUUGAAGAAGGAGCUGAGGAGACUAAUUCACAGGUGGACUUAAUGUGAAAUUUAUUAUGUAAUUCUGGUCGUUUAUGUCUCAAUAUUAAUUUGUUGGAUCAUUUCAGGUCAGGCAGACACAUCUGGUUGCUCCAUUAGACAAGCAUUUCCCCCUGUUAUAUGUCCUUCUGAAGGAUCAUAUCGCAGACAAUAUUGAUUUUAAGGUAUGCUUUAAUGUCCAGAAACCCGUGUCUGAUUUUGUUGAGAUUUUCUCCAUUAAUUUUGUAUGUCAUUUAGCCCUUGGUUUGUGUAGGUUAUUAUAUUUUGUACAACUGCUAUGGUCACAAGAAUGGUAGCUGACCUUCUUGGUGAACUUAGCUUGAAUGUUAGAGAGAUCCAUUCCAGAAAGUCCCAGAGUUACAGGACCAAGGUUUCUGAUGAAUUCCGCAAGUCAAAUGGUCUUAUUCUUGUGACUUCAGACGUGUCUGCCCGUGGAGUUGAUUAUCCUGAUGUUACUCUUGUCAUACAGGUUCUUUAUUCCAUUUUUUUACACGCAAUUUAGAUGUUUGGCCUUCCUUGGUGAAAAAAAUUGCAAGUGUGUUAAGCACUCUAUGCACAAUCAUUGAAGUUGAAGCAUUGGAGUAGAUUGAUUUGAUCUCUAUCUUGUUUAGUUCGAACUUUUCUUGUACAUUUAAUUCUCAAGCUUUUUCCAGACAUUAAAACGUUAACUUUUUAUAUUUUAAUUAGUAUUUUAAUUAAGAAAUGAAAUCUCUGUUGCAACCCCAGGUGGGCUUGCCAUCUGAUAGAGAACAGUACAUCCAUCGACUUGGUAGAACCGGUCGGAAAGGUAAAGAAGGACAAGGCAUCUUGCUACUCGCACCCUGGGAAGAAUCAUUCUUAUCCACCAUCAAGGAAUUACCGAUCACGAAAGCUUCAGUCCCUUCAGUGGACCCAGAGACAAAGAAAAAGGUACCCUUGUCCUGUUUUCAGAACGCAAGUUGCUGUUAGUUAACUGCAUUAACGUUAAAAAAAUAAAAGGGUUGCAAUUUUUUUCUCGAGCAAUUUCUGAAUCUCUGCAAUUAAACAUUACUGAACAGGUGGAACGGGCCCUGUCUCGUGUGGAGAUGAAGAGUAAAGAAGCAGCAUAUCAAGCCUGGUUAGGUUAUUACAAUUCCAGCAAGCUGGUGGGUAGGGACAAAUACAGGCUUGUGGAGCUCGCUAAUGAGUUCAGCCGAAGUAUGGGACUUGACAACCCUCCUGCCAUACCCAAGCUUGUUCUUGGCAAGAUGGGCCUCAGGAAUAUCCCUGGUUUGCGCUCCAAGUAGUUUGGGCAACUAAACGCGCUGUAGGUAAACAUAGCUAGCAAAUUGUUGAGCAAUUUCCUUAUGAGUUUGAAUUUGCUUAUUUGCUAAGUAUGUGAAAGUUCCUAAUUUUUUUUAGGUGUUUUAAAUGUAAAUUCCUAAAUUGUCAAAAGUUUGAAGAGAACCUGAUACGACCUGCUAACCUUUGUUCAAGAUACGACUCUUGCAAGGUCAAACUAAGUUCCAGUUUUAGGCUCCCUGUUCUUUAAUUUUUAAUUUGAACAAUUUAAAUGGAAGAAUUCAAUUUUAUUCAUUUAAUAGCAUUAAUUUAAUUGUUUGUGAGAUUUAUCCUUGUAAUAAGUUUUAAAGUGAAUUUUUUGUCCUUUGAAUUUUAUUGUAUAGAAUAAUUGAAAUUAAAUGAACGUGUUUUCCAACUUUACCUCCAUUAAAAAAAAAAAAAAGGAACUUUCAAAUUGGUAAAAGUAUUUUAAACGAUGACACUUUCAAAAAAAAAAAAAAAAAAAAAAAAAGAAUAAUGAGUUCUAUUGGAUCGAACUUAUAAGAGGUAAGAAGAGUACACUACAUCCGAUAUGCCCUUGGAACAUUUAACUUCAUGGAGCAAUAGAUUUUAUUUUUCAGUGAUCGGAUUUUUUUUUUUUUUUCUCUACCCUCAAUCCAAAACACAUGCAAACUUUAUGGAUGAUUUAUUCCACUUCAAAUUACAAAUUUGAUAAUAACAUUGCACUGGUACACCAACAGUAAAAUAUUAAUUUAACAUGUAUAAUAAUUUUCACAUUUUUGACAAUUUACUAGUUAUUAAAUUGAUAUAAUUUCAGAAAUUGCAAUGCUCAAUAAAAAUAAUUUUAGAAAUUGAAAUAUUCAAUAAAUAACAUUUUAUUAAUUAAAAUAUUUAAAGAGUCAAAGUAAAAAUAAUUUAGAGUGCAUUUAUUCAAUCAUUUUUUGAGAUAUAAGACCUGAAUUAAUACUGCAAAUUCACUCGCAACCUCCAAUGGCCGGACUUAGCAUCAUCUAAACUAUCACGAGUAGCGAGAAAAGAAAAACAGAGAAAAACAGAGCAAACCCCCUCUCCAGCUAUGAAUGAAACCAGAAAAAUCUUUUUCCAUCUAUCUUUGGCGAGCGCACUGCUACAAUGUUGACCUUUUUAACUUUUAAGCAAGAGUAUAUAAAAGCAGCUCUCGAUUGAGCUUGUGCAUCAAAAUCAGUAAUACAGCUUGACCGUGGGUAACAAAAUCCUGAAAAGAAACUUAUAACAUUGUAAAAUCCUAGAUUCUAAACCUGCAAGCUUCUACAUCAGUGGAGUUACAAUGUGUUUGAGCCCUAAUUAAAAACUAAAAACCGAGUCCUGCGUCCACCCCCUUUACCUCCAAUCUGCUACAUCCACGUAAAAAGGGCAGGUUAGAAGAUGAUUUAUAUAGUGUACAAACAAGCCGAAGCCAGCAGAACCAGAGGCCAUCUAACAAGUACGAGGUGUCCCACAAGUUAUCCCAUUUUAUGAAUGAGGUGAGACCACGAGGGCCUCGUAGGAAUUAGGUGGUUUCUCGUCAUAGUUUCUCCCAUCAUUUACUGCUUGGUUCAGAAAUGCAAGAGGUGGGAAAUCCUCGUCUUUCAACUGAUAAUUCCUUUGAGCCACUGAUCUGGCAAUAAAAUCAAAUGCCCCUGUUAAGAUAAUAAAUCAAAAACAUCACAAAACAGUUCCAGUAAAAUAAUAAACAACUAAUAUAUGGUACUACUAUAUGCUGUAACAGCAGAUCAGAACAUAGAAUUAUAGCACCUAUAAGCAUAUUGUCUUAAUUAAGUAAUUUGUAAUCUUAAGGCAGAAAUGAAUUAUUAUUGUAGAACUACCUCAGUACUAUAAUUCUAAAACACUGCCACUUAUCCAUAAGCAACUUCGCCCCCUGCCACUCAGAAACCUUGCACUUAACAAACAGAAUGAUGACUACCUCUGAAGAUGAGGCGAAGAAGGCUGAUCUGGUGAAGAUCGUUGGGCAGAGCUAUGGUGAAAUCUUUGGUCCUCAAAUGCCCCACUUGAUCGAGUUGCCUCAUUUAGAUGUGGUACCUCAUUUACACCUGAGAAACCCACAGGCCCAAGAGAUCCAAACUCAAGCUGUUCUGCAGGAGAACCAAAACCAGCAGUAUGAUCAUAAGGAUAUAGCAUUAGGACAGGUGGAAAGGUAGAACCAUUUGAUGAAACUCCACUGGGACUCAUGGAUUGUAGUGGGUACAUGCCAUAUGCCAAAUUGGCAGGACCACUCUGUGAAGGGCUAGAACGGAUUGGACUGUUCUGAGACUGGUAUGAAGGGAAAUUAUCAUGUCUAUGUGAGCCCCAUGUCCUAUCAGUUCGACUCUCAUUUGCUGCCAACCGAUCAUGCCUUGAGCUUGACUUCUCAGCCUGGUUACGAUUGUGGCUACGCCCAGCAGCUCGAGGCUUUGAAUUCACAUUCCAAUUCCCCUCCCUAUCACCAUGGUGGUCACUUCUAUCAUAACUGUAAUUUCCCUUUCUGCUAGUUGUAGAAUGCCGGUCUCGAACCAAUACCUUCUAAAACAAAUCCGAAAUUAAUUGUGACAAAGAAAUCGACGAAGGUCAUAAAAAAGGUAUUCAGUAAAGUAAUGAAUCUUCAAAUUCUUUUUAGCGGCAAUAGAUGAGGGAACACAAAAAUCCCGAAACUUCAAGGACUGUACAUCAAUAAUGGCACCAACAGACACAGAGCAGACAUGUUUAUAGUUUAACAAACCAAUGUGCUGAUCAAUUUAAGAGACCAUAAAACUUCUUGUUUGUGUAUAGGUGACUUGUGUGUGUAUAACAUAAUCAUUUGAAAAGGAUGCAUCAAUUAGUUAAUGAUAAGCCCCUCUAGACAUGCCGCCUGCUCUCCAGAACCGCUGAAGAUUUUCUAAUUUUCAUUUAUUCCAGUUCUAUUUUUGUUCUUUUUCAUGAGGGCUAUUCUCCAAUCAAAUGGUAUAGGUUUGGACAACCAAAAUAUUGCAGGUAUGAGGCCUGAGUAGUAAAUUCCCGAGAAUAACUAACAGACUAAAACAAGCUAUAUACUUUUCAACAGGACAGUAUACAGAGAAGUGAAAGAGAGAUGUGAAAGGCUUAAGUGGUAUACUUUUCCUUAUACAUUGGCCUAUAUCGAGUGAACUCUAAAUAGUUAGGCAUAUUUCUUUUGCCUGCAAUAUUUAACCAGUAUCCAGUUAUCAUCCAUCCAGUAAACUAAACCUAGUAACACAAGCAGCUGAGCAUGUCACAAUGAAAGAUCGUACAACCAUUCAACUAUAACAAGUGGAGAAGUAAACAGUGUUGUAAGAAAUGUGAAAUCAUGCAUGUCAAAUAAUCUAAACAGUAAAAUAAGAUGCUAUUACAAAUCAAGAUGUUCGAGUGCAGAAGUCAAGCGUGUGGUGAGAAAACUGUAAACAUGGAUGUUAAACAUGUUAGACAGUAAAAAGACAUUAAAAAACAGAUGAAACUCUUUCAAACUGAAUAGGAGUAAAAUGUUCAAGUGCAAAACUAAUAAAAACAUAAAAAUGACAAAGGAAAACAUUGAUGCAGAAAAGUAUCUUACUGGAUUUGGCAGGUAGGUACCAGUCCCACUACGAUAUCUUGGCAGUUCAUCAACAUAAUGUUGGUAACCAACCCCAGGUCUAUUAGAAAUCGAUUGUAGAGGAGCAACAGGAACAAGACGUGGUCCAUAACUCAUAAGCUGAGUGAAAAGAUUCAUAUUGUUUGAAAGAGGUCUACCAGGACCAUCCCAUGGAAAACGGCCCUGUAAAUAUACAGGUGGCACCACAAGAGGCGAAGAAUAAGCUAAAGUUCCAGGAUACCGUGAGUUUUGGCAAAAACGUCCAUAUUGCAAGUUUUGCCAGUGGCUGGCAAAAUCACUAUUAAGAAUGUCAGAUUUGUGCUCCAACGGCUCAACUGAAGCAACCCUUCUCAUAGAAUCAGAAGUACUUAACACCUCAGAUUGAUCAAGUCCGUCAGAAGAAUCAAAAUUCUGACCAGAAUCACUGUUAUCUACAACUUCCUCUACAUUAAAUUGGCUUGUUGAUGCAUCAGAAGCUCCUGUCUCAGUAGGAAAGUUGUAAACUGGAACCAUAGUAAAAAAUGGAACUGGUGGCCCUGUAGCAUAAAAUGUAAAAGGAAGAACCCCCGAAUUAUCAGCAGGUCUUUGUCUUGAACCAGAACCUAAGAUCAUUGGAGCAAUAGGUAUCAAUGACUCAGAUACACUUGUCUGUGCUGUUUCAUAUCCAGGAAUUUGAUGCCUUGGAACAUGCACAGCAGCAGAAUGAGGUCCUACGCUUCUUUCUGUCAUUUCAGGCCCCAUGGCGGAUACUGGAUUCCACUCUUUGUUCUCAUCUUCUGCCUGAUUUGACGGAUGUUCAGAGACAUUCUUACCUUUCCCAUAACCAGCAGAUGGCACUGUGGAAGCUGUUGCUUUCCUAUUUCUUUUUUCCCUUGUCGAUUUUGAUGCCUUAGCAGGUGAUCCAUCCCACGAACUCUCAGAAGAGGUUUUGCUUCUCAAAGAGCUAGUAUUCACAGUAGGGAAGGACCUUGAACCAGCAAUUCUGUCAUCAAAAUAAACUUCAGUACCUUUGUUUUCUUGAUAAGGGGAAGUAUCUACAUGAUCUUCCCUCAUUGAUCCUCGAGUGUCUUUACUAGACUUCUGCUGAACUCUUGAAGAGAUAACAGAGGCACUCAUUCGAGAUGAAGGAACAAAGUUAUAACUAGCUGAAGUGGACUGCUGGUUAUCAUCCAACUGAUGAAUUUCAAAGCUUCCAUUGUCCAGAUCAAAUCCACUGGUGGAGCCCCUAUCUGGCUCAUGCCAGAAAUCAUGAUCAGCCUCUGCUGGGUUCAUUUCUAUGGAACCAAAAUUCUCAUUACCAGGUUCGACUGAAUCAUCAGUAUUUGAAGACAAUCCUAUGCCAGGAAAAUAAUGGGUCAGUGGUGAAGAAACUAAGCCCUGAGGAAGUUGCAUAUUUGUGCCCCAAGGAUGAUCCAUCAUGGGAAUAUUUGUGGGUACCAUUCCACCCAAAUUUCUUUGUGGGCCAUACCCCAUUGAAGCUAUAACAGAAGGUGAGAUUGAAAGAGGGAUGUGACUUGAUGCCAAAUUCAGUGGAAGAUGAACCGGUCCAUUAAAACCAAGACCUGAAGAAGAUGCCAUUAUGUUCACAAAAUCUUGUUCUUCCUGAUGCAUCCCCUGAGUCCCAAGGCCAGAUGCAAAUUCUUCACCAGCAACACCCAUGCCUGACUCAUCAUGGUAACUGUUUGAAUCUGCAACAACAUCAAGGCUCUGACGAGAUGAGGCAUGUCUAAUGGAUGAAGGAUCAUCAGUUAAAGAUCGAUUAUCAUGGCUUCCCAAAUUAUCAGAUUCCAGGUUCUUCCACCUGCUGUUAUCUAGCCUAGCCGAGGAGAUCUGGCCUUUUCCAGUUUCUUGGGCUCUGUUACGCUUUACUUGUGAAGAAACUUCACCAUAAGUCUCUGUGAGCUCGGGACUAGAGCGCGUCCUUGCAAAAAGAUAUCUUCCCUGAAUAUCACCAACCAAGUUAUCAGGUUUAGAACUUCUUUGGUUUUUCUCUGCAUGUGGGCCUUGUACACCAUGAUUAUAACUGCUUCCCCUUCUAGAUUGAUCAGUUGUCCUUGUGUUGUUUGGGUUAAUAUAAGACUUUUGACUUUGACUACGAGAAACUACAGAAACUUCAGUACUUCUGGAUGAGCUUUCUAAGAGAUGAUUACCAUGCUGAGAGGGAGCACCACGCGACCUGUGUGCCCCAUCAACUUGAGCUUCAUGGCCAGAAAUUUUGCUGUUUGAAUUGUUCCUGAUAUUAUCAGACCCAUGAGAGAGGUCAGGAGUUGACAAUCUCAAGCGCCACAAAUCAUUCCUUGGUGCAUCAGGACGCUGACCAGUACCAUGUCUGUCCCAGGUGUUCAAAAAGAACUGAUUUACUUCAAAAAAUAUGUCUUCCUUUGGGCAAUCAAGUAACCUUGCAAGCCUUUUAGCGCCAAAUGCAAAUGCACUACGUAUCCUAAAGAAAUUACCUGGAAAAAAUAUGUAUUAUUUAAAGAGUAUAAAGUUACUAACUAUGCAAAAGGAUUUGUUAGGAAAAAGAAUCAGCAUAUUAAAGGAAUAAACAUUAACAGAAGAAUUGGAUGUCUGCAUAAAAAAUUCAACAAUAAUCAGCUGAUGUGGAAUACUUCUAAAACAACUCGCUUCUCCGCUCACAGAACCUACCAACACUAUUCUCUCACUCUCCCCAACCUUUCUCUUAUUUCUCUUGCUAUCGCUCUUUCUCUCUUCAGACACUACAUCCAAAAUUUUUUAUUUUUCUAUUAUGAAGUUUUUUGGUUGACUUGAGAUGAAGAUAAUUUUGAUUUAAACUUAAUGCGGAAUUAUAAAUUUUUUUCAAAUUUCAUCUCUUAGAACCUUUCACGGGAGUGCCACAUGAGAGGCACAUGACUUUUUUUUUUUAAUUAUAACAGUCAUUUGCCCAUUCAUUAUUCACAUGACAAGUAAAACACUUACAAUAGUAUCUCAAUUCAUCAUAGCAAAUUCAGUCUCUAGAAAUGUGCAUUGGUACUUUACAGUAAAUCUUCUAGUUAAAUAAAAUAAAUUAAUAAAUAAAUAGUAUCCACAAUAUCAUUAUCCCAUAUAUUAAAAAUUUUCAUAAAUCAUCCUGCUAUUGCUAGACAGCUUCAAACAAAUGGCUAAAUGACACCAAGUGAGAUGUGCGGCCAAGUACAAAGAAAAGAGAACAUCAAUUAUAAGAGGAAUCAACAAAAGCUCUAAAUAGCAGAUGCAUCAGCACAAAGCUGUCCAAAGCAGGCCACAGUUCUCCCAAGCAAAGAUUUUCUCUGUACAGCUUUAUUUAAUAGAUUCAAGACCAACUUGCAGCAGCUUCUGACCAUAAUCACUCAUUUCUGAAGCUAUUAAUUUGCAACCACUAUUUGUUUUUUGACAUAAGAAAAUAUUAUUGAGAAAGAAAGAAAUGAAAGUACACAAUGGGCUCAAACAACUGGCACAUAUAAAACAAAGCUAAAAAGAGUAAUGCCCUCCAAGCAAGUUGGAUAACAUUCAGUAAGCCCCUCUAAGAGCUCGGGAAGCAUAAGCCACCAAACAAAACCCCACCUUCUCCCACAACAACUAAUGGAUUUCAGAACAUGUAUCAAGAGAAACACCAAAAUGGAUAGUGUGUUCUUCAAUCGCAUUAGGUGCACAAUUAUAAUGAAAUUAAAACCUAGACUAUACAGUAAAGAAAGAUGGCCAAAUCACGAUGUACAAUAAUAUUGUUGUAAAGGCCAUAAAAUGCCAGCAGAUAGAAAAGACAUGAAACCAAGUCGUGAAUCUCAAUGAUACUUCAGCAGUAAUAAAAACUAACACUAACAGAGUUCUAUUUAAAUACCUUUACUAACACUACGUCCAAGGUUGUUGUUUACACGCAAAGGAUCUAUAACAUUGAAGUGCUUUGACAUGAAAGGUUGCCCUUGAUUUUCCAGGCCACCAGGAUAAACAGCAUAUACUGCACUGCAGGCCUCAAGAAAUAAUUUGCUAAGCAGUAAUUCUCCACCAUCCUUUCGAGGUGGUUCCGCUGCAAAGCAUUUGAAGGAAACACUUGAUAUUGAAUUGGUAAACACUUAAGAAUGCUCACUGACACAUUAAUCCAAGCGACUUGAAGCAAUGAAAUAUAUAUAUAUAUAUAUAUAUAUAUAUAUUGACAAAUUUUGAAGCAAUUAGGUAUACCUGUCACUUCUGGAAGUGAAUGGAUGGGUACAGGACCCCAGAGGCUAACACAAAAAUUGUCCCAAUCAAACUUACUGAAGAACUCAAGAAAACGGUACAGGACCUAGAAAUGCAGGGAAAAAUCAGAUGAAUGAAAAAAGGAAUACAUCAGGUAAAACAGUAAUAUAUGAAAAAACACCUCAAGAGGUCCAGCAAAGGAAUUGUUGAAAACAUGAAAUAUGUAGAGAACUAAGGUUUCCAGAGCAUAAGUCGAAAUCAAUCCAUGGUGAGCACCCAAAAUACGACUUUCAUAAUAACACCAAGCCUUUAUCAAUAUAAUGCUCUUCUUGAAUAAAUGAUUUUGAUUUAUCAAAUGGUCAACCUACAAAGGAGAAAGCCUUAUCAGUUCAAACUACAAAUUGCAUUACCAUUUGCAGUUUCCUAAAGCAAGAUUCUGUACAGAUGUUCAUAACACACAACUAACCUCCUCGAGGAAACAAAGAGUGCAUAGCCCACCAAGCUGAUUAAACGAUAUGUCUACUACAAUAUUUUCCACAAGACAUUUUAUUAUCUUCACCUGUAUGUUCAUUCAAAUGAAAAUGCCAUCAAAUAUACCAUCAAGAAUUGCAUUGUAUAACAAAAUAAUGAAGGCAGUCAGUAACUUUCGUUGAAAUUAAAAAAUCCAUUUACUUUCAGCAAAAAGCGCCUUUUGAAAUGUACUACUACGACAACACAAUUUUUAAAAUGUACUGUCCAAACUUGGAAUAAAACUCAGCAUUCAAAAUAAAUAAGUAGAAAACAAAAUUCUAGGGCAUUAAAUAGUAAAACAAAAGUUGCAAACAGAGUCCUAUAUGCCAUUAAUAGUGUUGACAAAGAUUUCAUCCAGUAUCCUUAUGAAGGACAUUUGGUAAGUAAUGGCAUCUCAUUGUCAACCAACUGCAUAAGAAUAAAUGUGGCCCUACUCAUCAUCACUGCUUAUCAAUAUAUCAUCCCAUCCUAAAUAUCAACCAGAAAUCCCUGCACUAACUCUGACAAGAAGAAAGCAUUAAAAAUGCAAUUGUUAAACAAACCAUGAGGUCAACUGAUCUUCAUCUUUAGGAUUACUCAUCCAUAUCCUAUCACAGGCUUUGCCGGAGGCAUGUGUUAAAGAGUUCAUAUAUGCAGUUUUCAUUAUUAUUCAUUUUUCACAAUCUGAAAUUUCAUUAUUGUUUAUCAUAAAAUUCUUCCAGUCUGUAAUUUAAACAUUUGUAUCUACUUUUCCCCCGAUAUCUUAACCUUUUUCCACGCAAAUUGAACUACCAGGUUUUGGGGGCCUGUCAUUAGAGUGAAUAGCACCUAACAAAGCUACAAAAUAAUUUCUAUAUCUGACAAUUGUGAUACAACUACAGAAAUUGGAAUAUUAACCAAUCCCGCUGAUUACUAGUCCAGAAUAGUUGGACAAAAUAUUACACGGCUUAGUGCCACUCCAUUUUCAACAUCAAUAACCAUCCAAAGAAAAAAGAGCCCUUAAAGCACCAGGACCCUUGUCACCUAAGGCAUUUGCUCAAGUAAAGUAGGCAUUGCUUCAAAAAACUGAUUAAUUUAUACAAAACAUCAUUAUCAUUUUCCUAUUCUUACUGAUUCCUCCUCCUACCUAAAAUUGUAAAAAGACACCUUGGACUUAAUAGAAUCUAAGGAAAGGACCUUUAGCAUUUUAUAAUAGAUAUCUCAUGCUUUGCCACGUUUGCCUCUCUAGUCCACAAUGUAUAAGUGAAAUUAAUAACUCAGAACUUAGAUUAAAAAUAAGCAUCAAAGGAAUGAGUCAAGCACCUCGAGCACCUAAGCACCAAGUGCCUCAGCUCAUGUGCUUGCCUAUACAUUGCCUUAGUGAAAGUCACCUAACCAAGAACUAGUUGAGGUACUUUAGCAGCAUCUUGCCUGCCAGGGUACCUAGUCAAGCACCUGGCUUACCUUUGUCACAUUGGCAAUAGCAAAAAUAUCUUAAAGGAGAAAAAACAAGAAAAGAAAGAAGAUUGCGAGGAGAGGGAGAUGAUUAGAAUAACAAAAGAGUAAUGGGUAACAAAAGGGACCUACUUCUGCCUGGAUGUACUGAACCUCUUUCACACGGAAUUCAGCAUUCUCAUUCUUCUCUUCUUUCUCCAGCGUAUCACGAACCUGAUGAGCCCAUGUUUCUUUCAAAUUUUGAUUCUUACUGAAAGCUGUUAAGUCAAUGUCCCCAUCAGGCAAAUAAGUCUUAAGGGGUACAGACCCAAAGGUGAACACCUAUAGACAACAACAAUAAUGCAUAAAUAACAAUGUAAGAACUCAUACAAUUCUGCAACAAGGUAAUAACUGAAAGCAUUGUUCACUUCCAUAACAUGAAUUCUCAAAUCACUAUUAUCAUUGCAAUUAUUCACAAGUUUGGCUUCAACCAGUCUAUUCAUUUUUGUUUCAAUUACAACAUAUGCAUACACCCCAUAGGACAAUGAUAAUGCUAAACCACCAACUCCCUCACUGCCUUCAACUUGACGAUAGUCAAGUUAAACUCAUUGUAUAUCAUAUUCAAUUCCCCUUCACUCAAACUUUAGAUCAUUGCCUUGGCUUGCAAAUGUGACCCACACCGAUUACAUCUCCAUUUCAAUAAUCCUUGCUUAGAGAUGAGAUUAUGUUCUAUCUCCUUACUUCCAAUAAUUGGACUGAGGCAAUCAUCUCCACUUAUGAUGAUACUAUCCAAACGCAAAAAGCCACACGUUAAGUAAAAAUUAGUACAUAAGCUAGACAGCACAAAUGGACAUAUGCAAUGUACCUCGCAGUGAAAGCACUUCUUGAUGAGCCGCUGCACAUAAUCUGCAACAGCAUUUCUGCGCUCUUCUGAGGGCUCGUUUGGCUGAAUGCAGGAAAUGAGCUCUGCAGUUCUCUCUUCCGCCUUCAACCAUCGUUCCGAGUCAAGUACUCGGAUCACAGAGGCCGCUUCAUUAGGCAAUAGGCCGUUUGGCAAUAGCCUCUCAUGCUCGCCCAUGCAAUCCUAGACCCUUUACCCCCUUCUCUUACACGCUAGUCAAUAACUAAUACCCAAAACCAACUCCUAUCUCAAAAAAAAGUAAGAGCACUUAUAAUAAAAACAUGAAAGCAGGUACAAUACAACAACAUAAAGCCAAAAGGAUUAUACAAAUAUUUACUACUGCAUUAAUUUCCAGAUUGUGAUUAUCAGGUGAAUCCGUUUCCUAAGAAAGAAACUUUCCGAUUAGAAAGCAAAUGGUAAGUAGUGUAAUUUCGGUCAAAAUUUUGGGUCUGGUCAAAAACAGAUAUGUAAAGUACAAAAGUACAGAAACCUUUCAGGGAAGGAACUUCAAUUUCCAAAAAUUUAGAAGUAUCCGGUAAGAAGAUGGAGAUGGUAUAAAAGCAAUGAAUGAAAUCUAUAAACUAUGAACAAAAAUGAAAACCCUAGAAAUCAAAUAUUAAAAAACCCUAAAAGAGACACUAAAUUGGAGAUAAAAAAUGCAAAAGGGUCAGAUUAUCAAAACCCUAGGCGAAAUCUCUUCAAUCCGGUGUAAUGGUUAGGUGUCGGCGAAUCAAAAUAGUAAUAUUAGAAGCGCGCUUGCCAGUAUGGAAUAUUAGAGCAUUAAAGAAAUGUUGCAGAGGAGGAAGGGAUGGUGGGAAUGAUCAAUAUUAGGUUUUGUGGAUACACAGAGAGAGAUAGAGGGGUGUUUGGACAAGAGAAUUAGGGAUUCUGGACGCUAGUGCCUAAAGACAACAACGCCUUGACGUUAGAGGUAAAAAAUUGUGCAUUUUAAGGGUUUUUCUUUCUCUAAAAUGAUUUUAAAAUUGAAAUUUAUUAGAGAGAGGGUUAUACAAUCCGGGUUCCGGAAGGGAAGACAAACAAGUAGAUAGAAAAAUACCAACACCAAUGAUAAUAAUAACCACAUAAUUCUACUAAUUAAUAAAAAAAAUUAAUAAUUUGAUGGCUGGUAUGUAAAUAAUUGUAAAUUUAAUUAUGGACUAAUGGGCCAAUAUCAAAAGCGAGUAGUAGUUCAAAACUAAAUCCGGCCCAAACUUGAAGGGUCGGUCUUUAACUGACCCAAGUUCGCUACUUCCUCAACCGCUGAACCGCGCCCUUAACUUUCCACGAUCUCCUAAAACGACAAUGAAAAUAUUAGAGAGAGAAGGAUUCAAAAAAUGAAAGGUACAUUGCAAAUGCAGAAUCAGAAAAAAAAAAAAAAAAAAAAGAAAAAAAAAGGCCUGAACACCUAACAAUAACCUUUCUCUUUUCUACUGGACCUUGUAGUUGAUCACCGAAUGUGGAAUCUGAUAUCCUUAUUCUUUGGAUUUUGAGUCUUCAGUGCAAUUUCAGAUUAAACACGAUAGGCGAGGAGACUACAGGUACAACAUCAUCGUCUUCUCUUUACCCUUAUCACCACCGUCUUCUUUCUCUAAGCCAAACUUCUAACACGUCAAUUCUCUCACAUGCAAGUCCUGCACGUCUCUUCUUAUUAUCCAAACGAUCCUCUCGUCCUCAAAUUUGAUGCUCUUCUCCCAUAAACUCCUCCGAUUCGGUUCCCUCCUCCGGCAAUGGCUUCUCCAGGUUCAACUUUAUUACUAACCCUUUCUUUCUUUUUGCAUUUAAUUUGAUGAAGAGAAAUUUCAUUUUUUUUCAUUUUUUUUUUUUUUUUGUUUGUAGUAAUUUUUGCACUAUAGAAGGACCGGAGACUAUAGGAUUUUGUGCAGAUGCAACUUCAGGAAAUUCAAGAUGAUAUAAGGAGUAGACGCGAUAAUAUCUUUUUGCUAUUUCUCCAUUUAUUCAUGUUUUAAAUUUAAAUUCCUGCGUUCUAUUUCAGCGUUUGUGAUUAGGUGAGGAGAACACUUUUAAAGUUCUGUUUCCUUGUCUAUCUUGUGCUCAAGCAAGCUUUCUACAGAUCUCCCCAUUUUUCCCUCUUCACUUACUCAACUCUGCUGCAUGUCAUUAUCAAUUUCUGCAUUCCCAACACUUGAUGAUGUUAUGUUUUUCUAUUAUUGUAAACUAAUCUAUUUUCCUCCAUUCUGUCUCACAACACCACACAAAGAACAAGUAUUAUUUUGCACGCGACCAACCUACACUAUGAAAUACAGAAAAGGAUGACCGAGGAGGGUAAAUGAUAUAUUUUUUUAUUUCAAGAUCAUUCAGGCGUGACUAUGUUCUCUGUAGUAUGUGCACGUUGUUUCUUCUCAUUAAUGUUAUUAAAAACAUUCUUUUAUUGCUUUUUAACACUUUGUACUAUUUUGUCAUAUUCUUGUCAUUUAAGGCAAUGAUUUGUAAUAAAAUGCCUGUUAUUACCCAGUUAACAUAAUAUGCAUGACCUGGUUCCAUGAAUGAUUGAGAUAGAAAAGGUUGAUUCAUUUGCGAUUGAUGAACUGCCUGCAGUGUCAAACUAGGAAAUAUUUAUGUUUUGUUGUCCAUAACUUUGUUAAGCUACUUCUAUCGACUUCAUGGGUUCAGGUUUCUUAAUUAUACUGUAUAAUCUGUGCUAGCAAGAUCGAACACAUGAAUCACUCUGUAUGCAGAAUUUAAUUCUAUGAUAGCAUCCUUAUCCUGUUGCCAACGACUUUAUUUCCUAGCACCUCCUCACAGUUUUUAGAAGUCUUUUGAUUUAAUAGCAAGUCUGAGUCGAUAUUGCUACGAAAGGGAGGAAAAUCUCUGCUCAAAAUUUUCAGUAUCUUUUCUAUAAGAAACACUUUGAGUUUUUGUGUGUUUGUUAGUUCUGAAUAAUAUGCACACAUAGAGUGUUUUGUUUAUCAUGUCUACAUAUUGUUAGAGCUAUACAACAAACAGAUUUAAAAGAAAAAAAAGAAACAUUAUACCCUGGAUUCAGAGUCGACUUUGUAUAAUGUUUGGAGAACCCCUGUAAAAUUACGUCAUACAGUGAUUGCCUCUUUUGUCACUAAUUUGCUGCUCUCUAAAUUAUUUUCAUGAUUCCAUGAAUGUGGAGACGGUGAAGCAAGUAGUGGCCACAACAGAUUUCUCUCUUUUCUUACUCUGCGAAUGACCUUUUUUGUACUUUGCCUUAAAACCCCAUUCACAGCCUUCAGAUAAUUGCUUGAGUCAUGAUCUCUUAAGAUUGUACCUUCUGAACCAUAGGCUGUAGGAUCGCUUAGAGUCUCCAAUGGAUGCGGACAAUUGAGAAAUGCAUUUAGCACAGUUGUAGAGUAUCCACAUUGUGUCUUGUCUAAUGCAUAGAGAGCACUUCCUGGAGGGAGGAGAGGAUGUGGUGGAGAUGACUUCUCAUCAGGUUGCAGAAUGAAUAAUUUACCGAGUGGAGAGUACAACAGUUUCUGAAUAAAAACCCAAGAUAAAUUGAAUAAGGAAUUUGGACAUGUUUUCUUUUAGGUUCUGAACAUUUAUGUUUAAAAAAAUAAGAUAGUAUUUAUAUUUAAAAAGAUAAAUUAUAUGGUACAUUUGUUGGAAACUUCACAUUGGAGGUACAUGAACCCCAUGAAUUUGAGCAAAAUUUACAUAUAGGUUUUGGAGGGAUGAAAUGUUAGUGGUCAAAAUAAUUGAGCUUUUAAUUAGAAAGGACCUCAUAAAUCUGAGGAAGUUCUUAUAGAUGGUUUCGAAGAUGCAAACUUAGAGGUGACUGAGGAAAUACUUACAUUUUUUAUUAGACAAGGGUGUGACCGGAAUGAACCAUUUAAGCGCUUGAGGACUUGAGCAACUUGGUUGGGGUAGUUGCAAGAGAAAGCUCUUGGGACAAUAUCCCUAUGCAUCAUCACACUAUGAACAUGGCCAUCUUCCAACCCCAAAUUACUCAGUAUCUUGUGGCCUCCACAGAAUACGAAUGGUGAGCCAAAAGUAACCACUGGACGAAGAGUGGAGGGCUUGACUACCUUCCUGGUCAGUAGCAUCAAGUUGACCAAAAGAGAGAGGCUACCCCCAAGGGAAUGGCCAGUAAAUUGAAGCUUUGCACGUUCUCCAUGUCUAGUCAAAUGGUCAAUUAUUACUGGCAUGAACUGUUCAUAUAUUCCUUUUGCUGCUUCAUAAAUUCCUCUGUGAACAAGCACUUCUGUCCCCUGUGAUAACAAAAUAUAUAUUGAUAUAUUGGUCUUUCCUCUCCUAAUUUGCCAUAUGAAUAGUCAUUUGAAGUACCCAGUUGGAACAGUAAGAAGUUGCAGUCAAUGCUCACCUCAAAUUUAGUAGGUUCAAAGAAGAGAUUUGCUUGCCAGGAUGCCAAGGAGUCAGAUCCCUGCAUUUUGCACCAUUCUACGCAUUAGGGAUCUCUCAUAUUGCUGUUUUUAUUUCAGAUUAUAUUAUCAUUCCCUGUGUGAAAUUUAUUUUUUAUGCAUUGGUUUGCUAAAGCCUAGAGGAGCAAUCUUUGACUGAUAUAUGCUAUCUAAUGUCUCUUUCUUGCAGAUUAAGAUAGAUGGUGAAGGAAUGAUUACCUGAAUUACAAAGCAACAAGUAUACGUGCUUAAGUCAUCACAAACAAACCAUUCACAAGGUGAUGAGUGAAGUGACUGUAGGGACUUUGCUGCCUUCUGUUUUUCCUCCUCCCCAGCUGCAACCACUGCAGUCAUUGUUGAUGCUGCCACUGCUGCAGCCACCUCUGAUUUGUAUACUCGAGGUGAGUUUUCUCCCCACUCAUCUGGUUGGGCUACUCUUCUGUGUGAAUCUGCACAUUCAUUCUUAUCCUGCAAUGCAGAGCUACAAGAUGAAUAGACUUUUGUGCGUGAUUGGACGUAAGAUGCUGCUGAUGCUGCAAUCUCAUAAACAGACGAGGGAAGUGCGCGCUUCUUCUGCUUGGAGUCCUCAUCUUCCUCCAAUUUGGAUUUGACAAGGGAAGCAACAGGUAAAUAUGUAGAGUCCUUGACAAGUUUUGCUUUUACAGCAGCUGCCUCUGCUUUCUUUUCCAAGGAAGACGUUACAAAUCUUAGCCCAUAGUAUCUUCUCAAAUCCAUGGCCUGCAAAUUGAUAGAUGAAGUACUUAUGUGAACUAGAUAAUUUUAUCUGCAUGUUUGUUUGAAGCUUUAUUUCUUCGGGAAGGUUGGGAAACUACUGAGGCUUAUGCUUUCUUUGGAUCAAACAAUGAAUGAGAAACGAACGGAGAGGGAAAUUUUCUUGAAGCUGCUUGACUAAUAUACUUGCCUUUCUUGUCCUUAUUGUUAAAAUCCAAAACUGAAAUCUUCAUAUAAGUUAGUUAAUGCUGUGCAAUUAACUAAAGAAUGCCUGAAUUUGGUACACAUACACAAAGUCCAGAAGCGCACAAUUCAAAAAAUGGGGACUAUCUAGAUUCUAGAGCCAUUAGUUGCGGAGGACAGAUAAGAGAAAGUAGUACAUAUCCUUCAGUAAGUUGCAACCUAUUGAUAAAGAUUCUAUCUGUAGUUCUAUGUAAAUUCUAUACUCUCUGAAUUUGCAGUUCAACUAUGAAAUCAGAGAAGAAAUUAGGUGUGAUUUAAUCAUUUGCCUAUUGAAGAUAGGGAGAUCACGGAGCUUCCAUGAAGAGAUAAUAUGGACAUUAUUAAGCUAGCUUAUGCCUUGCACCUCAGAAAAUGAGAGCAUUUUUUGAGAAAAUAUUACUUUAGGAUCUCCAAUAUAUCAUUGUAGAAAACAAGUAGGCAUACCUUGAUCUCAGGUAUGACAUAAGCCAUGUUGCACAAGAAGGCCAGCUUCGAGAAUCGCUUUGUAUCAGACCAUGGUACAUGAGCCAAAAAUCUUGAAAAUGAUUCACGAUCAUAUUUCAUUUCUCCUUCUUCCUUUUCUAAGUUAUAGUCCACCAUGCACCCAUCCUCAUCACCAUCAGAACUGCAGUCACAAUUCUCUUCCACAUCACAAAGCUCAUCUCCAUCUACAUCCUCUUUUUUCUGCCUGUUUUUCCAAUGACUGCUAAUCUCCAUUAGCCUCUCCAACCAAUUUCCUCUCUUGACCUCCUCUUCUUCAUCGCUCUCCUCUGAACUGUCACCUGUAUUGACAUUUUUCUCCACUGUAUCCAUGUCUCUGCUUGUUUCUGGAUCAAACAGAAAUGAUCUAAUUGAGUUUGGGAUUAUGGAGCUUGAAAUUUGGAGUGGAAAAAUCCCAAACGAACGGCUGUUCUUUAGCUUAGGCUGUAUUGUUUCUGCAUGUAUGUGGUUGACAGAACAACACAGGAGGUUCUCUGAUGAGGAUCUUCGGAGUAUGGCUUGCUUGUGCAGAUCUUUGCCAGAUUCUGAUCGACGGAGGCCAUUAUGUUCUUUGAAGACAUCUUUGGUGGUCAUGGUUGCUGGACAGGAAGAGAGAGUCACUGAAGUGCAUGCCAUGGCCUGUAACAGGUCGUUGCUGCAGUGAUUCUAACGAGAACAUAUAAGUGAAGAGUCUGCCACCUGGGUUAACUUGAAGAACAAUGCGCCUUGUUGGUUUUGCAGAUUUCUUGAAAACAGAUCAAGGUGCCAUAGUAGACUUUAUAAGGACAGUAGGGGCAACCAUAUUCCUAGGAAACAACGAUAAUAUUAAGAUGCCAAAAUUUCUUGCUCUCUAGUCAAAUUACUAACUUAAUGACAUGUUUAAAGAUUAUAACAAUGUGUGGGAAAAGGGUAUUAAGAGUCGUUAGAUUUUGUCACUUUGUUGUGAAGAUAGGACAUGUAGUUAUGUUCGAGACCCUGUUCUCAUUAAUCGUGGUCAGGGCAAGUUAAAACAAGCUGCUGAUACUUCCAAUUUUGACCAAACCACCAUAUGUCCUAGACAUUAUAGUCGAUAAAUCCUGUACUUGAAUCCAACUUCUUAUACAUCAUCCUUUUCUGACUUUAUUCUUAAUUAUAUGAUUCUCUGCCUCCUAUAUUAUAAAUUAUAUAGAAUUUAUGAAAAAGAGUUCCACAUCUCUAAUUUACUGAUGACAGUUCGUGGGGAAAGAGUAAAGGCAAAAGAUGCCAAUUUUUACAUUGCAAUUAUAUGAUAAGUUUUACAUUGUUGAUGAAUUUUUUUUUUAAAAGAAGUUUGCCCAAAUAGUGUAGAAAUAGAAUUUUUGGGCAUCUUUGAAAAUUGUUUAGGCUGCUUUAAAUUUUUAAUAGUGAAAAUUAUGAGAAGAUUUCACUUUUUUUUUUUUUUUUUUUUUUUUUGUAGGCCAAAAAUCUCAGUAUUGUUAAAUAUGAAGAAAAAAAAAAAAGUGAUGAAGUGCUAUAACCAGAAAUCACAUGAAAAGGUUCCAAUAUUGUAAGAAAAAAUAAUUAAGUAGCCUUGUGCCUACAAAAAUCUCACCUUUUAUAUAGUUGAUCUCAAAGGGAGGUGGAGGUCCCUCUCCCUCCAUUUGUUUCAAUGUCAGUGUCCCAAAGGCUUAAAAAUUUCCGUCCUCAGCUACCUGCCACAUCUACAAAACUUAAAUUCUAGCAAUUAUACGUAACAAACCUAUGCAAUUUCAUUUAAAGAAUCUAUAACAUUUUAACCCUUCACAAUUUGCUGAUUGUGUAUGAAAUGAAAGUACACGAUAUUUAUCAAACAUUCGGAGGUUAAGAUCAAAAUUACAUAAACAUAAGUCGUACGGUAGAUGCCGUCGAGAAUUUUUCUUUUACUUUUUUUCUUUUAACAUCAAAUCAAAUACUAUAUUAUAUGCAUGUGUCUAUUCGUUAUCUUUUCACUACACAACUGUUAAUUGUAUUUUUAUUAAGUUAUAUCUAAAAGGUAUAAUAUUAAAUAUUAUUAUAAAGUUCCGUGUAUUAAUUAAAGAAUGUUAAAAUAUUAGAGAUAGUAACUGCCUGCUUCAUGUGUGUAUAUAUAUAUUUAAAAGAUAAUCAUAACAGUAAUACCGAAAAAGAAAAGGAUAAUCAUAACAGUGAUGUGAUAUGAUUGAGAGACAUUUCAAAUUUCUGUUCUGUGCAAAUCGCAAUAGCCAAUAGUAAUGAAAUCUUUUUUCUUUUUGUCUAUCGUAAUUUUCAUCAAUUGAUUUGAGAUUGAGAAUGUAACAUUAGAAACAGACAAACACACGAGGUCAAAACAAAAGCUAAAGCUACCUAAAUCGUGAAAAUCCCAGAUCCAUUUUAAACCUGGAUUGUAAAUACCAAUGCACAGAAGAUCGGAUAUUCCAUCUUCAAGUGUCAAAAAAAGAAAAUUUACGAAGCUAACAGAAUUAUGUUUAUUCAAUGCUUAUCAAGCUCAAACAAACUAAAAUUAUAGCAAUUGGGAAGAUUACGCUGAUAAUUACCUUCAAUAUUACUCCUUGAUGUUUCUCCCGCGAUGGACCGUAUAUAUAACAGCAAUGCAAGUUGAUCCAACACUAAAAUAUUUCACUUCCUGUCUUUCCUCCAAUCAAAUUUCGAAAAAAGAAGAAAAAAAAAAAAUAUAUAUAUAUAUAUAGAGAGAGAGAGAGAGAGAGAGAGAGAGAGAGGUAACCAACGAUAGAGGACUGUAGCUAUGACUAUAAGAGAGAGAUUUGAGCUUCUGAAGAAGAUUCUUUGUAUAUGGCAGGGAUUUCUUUACAUAUACAUUUUGCGUUUAAGAGAAUAUUUUUAUAAUGUAUGCAUCAACAAAUGUUUCAUUAGAUGGAUCUCUGGCUUCUUGUCACAGAUGGAGUUAGGUGUCCUUGUGUGUGUCUCUCUCUAUAUAUGUCUGUGUAAAAGAUGAAUGAAUCGGCGAAAGAAAGAGCCCCCCACGAGGGAAUCAAUUCACGUGUUGAUUGAGUUCAAUGAGGUGGCACUUUUCUUCUUGCCAACUCUUCGACGGUCUAAUUUUUCAUGGACGUAAAUGACCUUGCUGUUCUUUAAUUGCGUUGCAAACGCUUAUUUUUUGAGGCAAAUAGUUUGAUUUAAUUUAUUAAAAAAUAAGAGCUUAAAAGUUAAUCGUAAAUCACUUAGAUAGACUUCCUUUAUAAAAAAUAAGAAUCAGUGAAAAAUAAAUUAUAUGUUUUUUUAAUUGCAACUAAGUCGUGCAGAAGACAACUUUUGGCAUCCAAAUGUCUUUGGGGUAUUCUCGUCAUCCCAAACGAGAGGCUACAGACGCUGCAGAGUGCAGACGCCAGUCAUUUGCGAAGCUGCCUUGCCUUCCAGCCAAAUGUGCGGUUGCAUGAGCCCCCCACUCCCAGCAACCACCACGUCAAUAGACACACAUGCGGCUCCGGCCACCUCCAUUGGCGUUGAAAAAAGAAAGGCGAGCCAAAGCUUGGCUUUUUAAGUCGUCCAUUACUUCCUCUUGGCCUCUCUCUUGCCAGUUUUGUUAAGCCUGCCAGCUGUCGGCCGAUGAUGAUUCUCACUCUAACUCUUUCAGUUGCGAAGCAAAAUUUAACACCGCCACGUGAUUGUACGCAAGAGAAAUAUGUUGGGUUGGGCUGGACUCGGCUGGGCUUGGAUUGGGUGGAUACUUUUGCUUAUAAAUCUGUGAAAUGGAUUGGUUGGGCCAUCUUUUUAAUUUGUUCAAUGACCAUUUGUUUUGAAGACAUUAACAUUGGUUGGCCCAUGCCCAAUAGUUCUGUUUCUCAGAAAACCGAGUUGAAAACCAAUAACAUUUUCUUUUUGUCCCAAAAUCUAAAUAAAUUCAGACCAUACUACGUUAUAUAUUUUACCUUUGACAUAAUUGCUUUAAUUUUAUUAUAGAAAUAUGGAAUUCAUUUGAAUUCACAUACCCUUACUGCCUAAGCUCCAAAAUAUUUUUAUUUGGUUUCUCCUAAUUUUCAAAAAAAAAAAAAAAAAAAACUCUUUUACCCCUAAUUUUAGAGUCUAAUUUCAUUCCUGCACUCAAAUAAAUAUGUUACAAACCAUACUAACUGAAAUUGAAGCAAAAAAUCUUCUCAAAAAAAAAAAAAAAAAUGAAGCAAACAAUGCUAGGAAGCAUGCUAUGACCUAAUAUUAUGUGGAUUAUUUUAUAUUUCCUCAUACUACAUAUAUGGGACUACUGCCUUGUUUGGAAAUAAGAGGAAAGAAAAUAAAGAGAAAAUUUAGCAUUUUUUUAAUCUUUUUCUUUGAUAGAAUAAAGAAAGAAAAUAUAUUUAUUUUUCUUUAUUUGGAAAAAUAAAAUUUAGGAGAAAGAAAAUAUCAUUAUUCAAAUUUGACAAAUGUGUUCUCAUUUAUUUUUAAACAAUAAAAUGUUCAUCUAGUUAGUUUGGAUAUUUAGGUAAUUUAAUAAAAAUAAGUAAUUAUAUUUUUCCCAUUAUUUUUCUCUUCAAACUACAGAAAUUCAAAAAUGUGGACUCGAAAAUAAAUUUUCACUACAUCUUUCAACAAUAAAAAAUAUUUUUCCAUGACUAUUUUCUUUUUUUGAAAAAAAACUUCCAUCCAGAAGGCUAAAAGAAUAUAUGCAAAUAAAAUGCACAUCAAUAUAUAUAUAUAACGCAAUCAUUUUCUCUCAAAAAGUUGACAUGUAUCAUUUCUUAAAUAAAUGUUUUUCUCUUGUUCUUGUCCAAUAAAAUUUUUGGUAAUGACACGUAGGAUUACAAUGCCACAUGUGACUCUUAAAUUUUAAUAACGCUACAUAGAAUUUAAUUAUUAGUUAUAGUACUAUAUAAAUAUUGAUAUUAAUUAUCAUUCAAUUAUCAUAAAUAAUGCAUAUCAGUAAAUAAUUAUAAUUAUUAUAAUGUUGUAACCUAUCUUUUCAAUUAAAAUUACAUAAUGUUGGUCUUAAUUGUUAUUCAAUUGUCAUAUUAAUAUAUAUCAAAUAAUUAAAAUUAUUAUAAUAUUAUAAUCUGUUUUUUAAUUCAAAAUUAUCAUAAUUUUGAUGUUGAUUAUCAUAUGAAUAUGUAUUGUAAUUUGUCUUUUAAAUUAAUAUUAUCAUAAUAUUGAUAUUGAAUAUCAUUAUAUUCAAUCAAAAUUAUCAUUUAUUAUUAUGAAUGAUAUAUUUAAAAGAAUGAUAGAGAAGGUUAAUGGUGAAAAUAUUUAUUAAUAAUUUUAUUAACGAUGAAUAUCUAAACAUUUCAAUAUUUAUUUGUCUUUAAAUUGCAAUAUAUAGUUGUCUUUAUUAGUUUUACUGAUAAUAUAUUGAAUUGUCAUUAAUUGCUUAUUGCUAGACUAUAAAUAAAGAGAGCUCUUUGAGGUUUGAUAAAUUUUUUUUUUUCUAAUUUCAAUAAUUCUUAUACAAUUUAUUUUCUAAUAUUGAUAUCUUUUUCUUUCUUUUCUAAUUUCUAUUACUCUAUCAAAUUAGGAAAAAUUUGAUAAAUCGCAACAGAAAGCAGUUUAUAUGAAAUUAUCAUUAAGACUGACAUAUAUAUAGUUCUAUAGUUGAAUUUCUAUUGUCUAUUUUAUUUUUAUUUAUUUUAUUAUUUUUAAUACUAUUUAAGAAAAUUUAUUAAUUUAAAAACAAAUUAAAAUCAAUAAUUUUUAAUAUAUAUUUCCUUUUCUUUCAAUUUUAUUAUAGACAUUAAUUUUUAUAUAAUUAAUCAAAUGUUUUGUAUUUGAGAUAAAUGUUAUUUAAUUUAAAUAAUUUUCAACUAAAUUAAUAAAUAUAAAAUUAAAAAUAAUUUAAAUUAUAAAUUUUUUCUUAAUUAAAUUAUAUAUUUUAAAAUAUUAUCACAAUAUCUCUAAAAUCAUAAAUAAAAAUAUUUACUAUGUUCGCAAGUGACACGUGGAUAAAAUGUAUAAACAGGAAAUUGUCGAUACCAUUACGUAAUCAUUUUUAGGAUUCGAAAAAAAAAAAAAGCAAAAAUAAGAUUAUAAUUAAUCUUCCACCACAAGACACAAGCGUGCUGAAGAGUAGAAUAUCCGGAUAUGCGUUGUUCUGUUGUCUGGAAUUGAGCCAUUCACUUUAAGAAAACUUGACAACGCAGACAGACACAGUCAUAGGAAUAGUUCCUUUGUUAGCGCCUCAAUCUUCACUCACUCCUCAACCAAUUGGGAGAGACUCCUCAAUCUGCUUUUCUAUCCUUUCUUUUGGCGAUAAAGACAAAGAGAGCAUUCUUAGUAGCCAAGUAUUACACUCUUAAAAAAACGGUUAAAAGACUGAUUCAUAAAAGCAAGUCGGUUAUGGUUUUCGUACAGCAAAUCGAAUCACAAAUAGCCACGUUAUCUCUAUCUUUUGGCUUUAAACGACAUUUUAAUAAAAAUUAAAAAAUUAAAAAAGUGCUCCGAUUAGCAAAAUGACAAAUGAACUUCUCUUCUCACUGGUUAACCACUUCCUAAAAAUUGGGUCCCGACAUUUUUACUUGCAAAAUUUUUGGACCAUUCGUUACUUAUUGUACAACAAAGUUCGCUGUUCUUUUUACCUGGUCAUGCUUUUGUACUCAGUGGAUAAGCUAACCGAUAAGGCUUAAUGAGAAUUGACUUUACCCUACUCAGGCUUUAGGUUUAUGAUAUUUGGAUUUGAUUUAUUAUAUUAGUACAGCGGAGAGAAGACAAUUGUUUUAAGGAGCGGAAUAAAAUUUUUAAAGGGGUUAAAUAUAAAUUUUUAUAUUUUUAACGAUCAAAAUGUAAAUUUUUAUAAGAUUUUUUUUUUUUUUUUUUAAAGUUUCUUGGAAGGCCAUGGCCCUCUUGGACCCUUAUAGAGCUCCACUGUUGCAUAUUAAUGACUGAUAAUCUAAUAUUAAUAUCUUGAAAUAUAAAUAAUAAAAUUUUUGUUACGUCUUAAUAUUGAUUCUCUCCUUUAUAAAAUUUUACUAACACGUAAAAACUAGAGUGUUCUCAAAGUUUAAAAUUGCUAUAAGUCGUCUAUUAAUGUUUUGAAAAUUUCUUUCCUGUAUAUUAAUGGCUCAAUAUAUCAAUUCAACAAAAAAAAUUGAAAAUUUACUUAUUUAUUCUUUUUUCUUAAGAUAUGAUAAAAAAAUACAUGUAAUUGAUUUAAUAUGUAGAUUUAAUGUAUAGAUGAACUUAUACACGAGAUGUAAUAAGUCUUUCGUGCUAGGCUAUCAAUCUCCUAUUAUUGAGGAAGGAUAGGAUAUAUAUUGACAAUUAUCCUCAAGAAGUAAAGCCAUGCCAUUGAAAAUGAAAAAGGGUUGUCCAAUAGAUACAAAUCCCUAAUCCAAGUCCCACUGCAAGUAGUUGGAGAUAAUAAUGUUUCAACUUUCAAGAUUCAACCCAAAUUGGCAAGAAUUUCCUAGAUAUUAUCCAAUUGCAAUAGAUUGUUUUCAACUAUUUUUGGACAAGUUCAUCCCUCCAAGACUGACUUACUACAUCUGGGUCAAGCAGAAUAAAAUGCCUUUUGGUAAUUUGCUUUGUUCUUGCUAGCUUAUUUUUGUCUUGUUUGAAAAAGACUAUUCUAUUACCCUCCUUUCAAUAGUCAUUAACUUUUCCUUGAUAAAACACCACUCAAACAAAAAUGUUCCUAUUUGGCUUCUAAAUCUUUUUAUUUUACUAUAAUAAGGAAUAUAACAACUAGAAUACAGAUUUCUGUAAAGAAAUUGAAAAAGGUUAUUAAAUUUCCAUAUAUUAAAUCAAUUUGAGGAUCACAUGACUGAAUCCUCCAAUAAUUUGGAUAGGUUUUGCUAGUGGAGGAAUGAAGGAACCUAAUCUCUCUUAUCAUGAAAUUUUGUCCUUCAAAAAAAAAAAAAAAAAUUGGAUGGACCAAUCAAACUGCACCAUGUAAUUAUACAGAACAUUUCCUGUCUUCCUCUAGAAGAACAGGGGCUGCCCAAUCUAUGUGGAAUCUUUAUUAGUUUAGCCCAAUUGAGAUGGGAGAUAGGACAUCCACUAUUAAAGCAUAUGAAAUGCGAAUGGGCAUAUAGGUGGCAACGAGUAUUUACAGAGUUGAUCACUAUAGUUUAAGUAAUGAAUUUAAUUUUCUGCAAUAUAAACUCUUUUUCAGGCCAAUCCCUUUAUCGCCAAUGAGCAUGGAUCUCGUGCAAGAAUAUAUAAAUAUAUAUAUAUAUAUAUAUAUAUAUGAAAGCAUUUGAAUCCUAAAUCACAUUUUAUUUUGUUUUGUUUUUUGUUUUUUGUUUUUUUUUUUUUUUUAUGUGCCUUGACCGGUAGGAAUCUUUGCUUGCCCGUUGAUAAGGGAACUUUGAAAUCUGCUUUGCAUUUUAUCUUUUUACCAAAUGAAGUAUAGAAUUGAAAGGAGUUGUAUGUGUGAAUAUAUACCCUUGGAAGUUGGAACUACACGGUUAUUGUAAGUGGCAGAUUCAAGACAAUAAAAAAUUGAUGAAUUUAUUAAAUUGUAUCCAUUCAAAUUCUAAUAUUAUCCUUUCAAAAUCAAAAGUAAAAUUUAUAGAAAUGGUGUUUUUAUGAAAAAUAUUAAAAAUUAAAAAUAUUAAAAAUCCAGACGUACAUUUAAAUUAUUCCAACGUAUAAAUAUUAAAAAUUACAACUUAUAAUAAUAAAUAACUCAGAGAUAUUGUUCCAUAAAAAAAAAAAGAAGAAAAUAUACUUUAUUACUGUUCUGUCACACACUCAAAGAAAAGAGUGAAAAAUAGCACACGAUUUAGCCAUUUCUAGACAUUACAAUCUUUAGUAUUUAAAUGAGAUAUACAAAACCACAAGAAAUGGAACAUAUUGCUUUAUCGCGGUGGAAUUGCAUUUUCACGGAGAAAGGGACAAAGAUGAAAGAACAAUGAACAUGGCACAUAGGUCCGUCCAACCUCUCUAUUCAGUGUCUUUGUCAAUCGUGCUUCUUCUUACUUUUUCUCUUUACACUUACCUACCACUUUCCUCUAUCUCCUGUCUAUCUAUGACUUUACCUAACUCAACCCUAAUAAAUGAUAAUUAUAUCAUUCCUCAAUUUAAUUUUGAUUUGCAAUUAAUAUUUCUAAUUUUGUUCAAAAAAAGUACAUUACUUCCAGUAUAAAAAAAAAUAAAAAAUACAUCUCACUGGGAGUUCUUUUCUUCUUAGUGGGCUUUAAAAAGGCUGAAGAUGCUUGUCUGAUUAAUUAAAAAAAGAAAAAAGAAAAAAAUUUUGACAAUACCCAAAAUAGGUUUGAAGUAGAUUGGCAUAAGUGACAAAUGAAGAACAAGAGCCUAAACCUUUUAUAGAUAUGGCCCAAUUAAUAAAGAUGGAAGACCCGAAAGUUAAAAGUUUUUCUACGAAAAUGCUGCACUGGAAGGGGGAAAAUUUCAUUUUGCCUCCUGAACUUUGAUUUGUUAUUGAUUGAGUAUUUUUAUUUUAAUUUUAGUUUCCAAUCAUUUGAUUCUAGACAAAAUUAUUAUAAAUAUGGGUAAGUUACAGAUAUUUUUAACCCAAAAAAAAUAGAUCAUGAAAAUUUUACUGUGAUAUCUCAAUCAUAAAAAUAUAAUAAAAUAAAAAAUCUUAAAAAUACUAUUAUCACAUGCUAUUGAUUUAUGAAUUUUUAAAAUAAAGAUUUAGAGAUUUGAUCGAUCUAAGAUCAAGAAAGAGAAUUGAAUGGUCUAAGUCAAGGUAUAAAAUUUCUUGAAGAGAAGGACAAGUUACUCGGUGAACAUUAUUAUUAUUUUUAUAAUUAUAAUAGCAUCGGUCGUGGUCGCUGUUACAAAAACGAAGUUUAUUAUUAAAUUAAAAUGUAUGGACAAAAUUUUUGCCUGCUUUGGUGGUUGUAUUCCAGUCCACAAAAUCACAUCUUAGAUAGUUAUAUUGUCCUCUGGAAAAAUGCCACGUGUCCCUUGACGGACUGUUUGUCCAAUCCACAAUAAAAAAGUAUAUAUUAUAUGUAAGUUAUAAAUAUUAAAUAGCAAAUGGUGGUGGGGUUGUUGGAUGCUGCCCAUCACCAUUAGAGUAAAGCUUCAGCUAAAACGAAAGACAUUGAUGCGAAAUGAACCAUAUCAAUUUUGUGGAAAGUAAAACAAAGUCUAUUUUUAUUUUUCUUUUUUCAUGAUUAAAUAUUUAUAUUUUAAAGUAAAAUUCGUAAAUUUUGUUUUGUUUUCUUGUUCAUGAGUAAAGUUAUUAUAAUCUAAAAAUGUAAAUAGCUAUCAUUUGGCAUUUUAUGCGUGUCAUGCAAAAUGAAAUUAUUGACAAUAAUUUAUUCAUGGACUUUAAGACGUUUAUUUUCAUUUAUACAAUCAAAUUUCUCUUUUAGUUUUAUAUAUAUGCAAUAAGAAAAUGAUUCUCUUGUAUUUUCUCAUUUAAAUAUUAUUUUAUUAUAACCUAAAAUAACAUUUCGGUGGUGGUUGCCUUUAUUUCGUGUUUCGUAAUAUGAGUUGUGAUUGCUAUCCAACCAACAUGAUGAUAUCCCGCUUGACAAUAAAUUCACGUUACUGGACUUGACAAAAUUUUUUAUUAUAAUGAAUGCAUAUCCAUAUUAUUGGUAAAACAUAUCUAAAAUAACUUAAAUAAUUUAAUAUGUAUUUUAGUAGUAUAUUUUUUAAUUUUUCAUCAAUUAUAUUUAUAAUGAUAUAUCUGAAUAUGUUUAUAACCGUGAAGCAUGUUGAACGUGCCAUUAAAAAAAAAAUGAAAAAAAUAUUUACUAUCCUUGACACGUUGGACAUUCACUUGUUGACGUUGGGUAAUCAAAUUAAUUUUUUAAACCUGAUUUUUAAUUACUGUGUAACCUUUUUCAUUUUAAUAUAAUAUUGCUUUGAUGACAUCAAUGUCUACAUAGAUUUCAAGGAGUGUAGUUUUUUUAAUUUCCAUAUCUAAAGGGGGCUGGCAGUAAAAACUUACACAGUUUCAACGAAUCAAAUAAAAGCACAUUAAAGAAUAAGCUAAAGUUCUCUCUCUCUUUUUUUUUUUUUUUUUUUUUUUUUAAUUCAGCAAUAAAGUAAUAUCACAAGAUUUAGUACAGUUAGUAAAAAUAUUUAUUUUUUAUCUUUUAUUAUAAUUGAUUUUCAACAUUAUUAAUUGUAAUUUUUUUUAAAAUUUAAUAUGAAUAUAUUAUAUUUAACAAGUGAAAAAGAACAUAUAAUAUCAAUUAAACAUGAUUUGAUUGAUUUUUUUAUUUUUGGAUUUGAAACUCCCAAUGGAUUAAAAAAAAAAAAACAUGUGAUGCAACUUUAUUGUCUUAAAAGUUUUUCUUUGGUAAAAUGGAUGCUGUGGAAGGGCAAUUAUGCCAUGUGAAUAGCUUCCACGUUUAUCUGAAUGUGAAAGAUUAAUAAAAAAUUCACAAAAAAAGGUCGUCCUAACAUUACCCCCACUUCAUCGUGCUUUGACUUUAAAGAAAACCCACUAGCUUAGUGGUGGUCACACUUACAUGCUAAUUGGAUAAAUUCCAUUUACCUACCGAUUUCACCAUCAUACCCAUACGAUCAUCGGUGCAAAAUGGACCGUCACUGCCAAUCCUGAACACCCCCUGUCACUCUUUCAUUUUUUUUUUAAAUAACUAAAUAACUUUUGUCGCAAUCAAUAAACGAAUAAAUAAAUAAUAUUAAUCACUUUAUCUAAUAGGGUAAGAUGGGCCCAAUAGACGAAACAGAGCUCUGGUUGGGCUUUAAAACAAAUAUAAAAUGAGGAUUGUCGGUGGAUUCGUUGAUUUUUGAUAGUCUGCUAAGCCAAGCUAAAUCCAAAGGCAAAGUCGAAGCCUAUUUGGAAAUUGCAUCGAAUCCUCCGUGACUAUCACCAAAAGCUUAUCUCCGUAGGAAAGCUUCAGCUUUAUUUCUCAUCCAGACGAAGAGAAAAGCUGUGACCUGUGACUUCUAUCUACAAAGAGAGAGAGAGAGAGAUUUCAUAUUUAUAAAAUGAACGGCGGCGACGCGUACGGUGUUGUGGAGGCGCAGUACAUACGGAGACACCAUAGGCACCAGGCCCGAGAGAAUCAGUGCACGUCUGCUCUUGUUAAACACAUGAAAGCUCCUGUUAAUCUCGUGAGCUUUCAGCUUUCUUUGGGUUCAUCAAAUACUACUAGUUUUUUGUUUGUUGGUUUGUUCGAUUUAUCAUUUUUUGUUGGUUGACUUUUUGGUUCUUUGUGAAUCUAAACUAUCCAGAUCCGUCUCGUUCUAUUAUUUUACUUAUUUAUCUUCUUCUUCUCACCGGUUUGGCCUUUUAAUUUACUGAUUUUGAUUUGUAUAACUGUGAUUUUGAGUUACUGGUCUUUAGAUUUGUUAAGAUUCGAGUUUAAAUGAUUUUUCUGAGAUAAGAUUUUGUAUAAACGGGAAUUUUUGUUACUAUUUUGAUUGUUUAUAAAUUAUUUGGACCAGGUAUGGUCACUUGUGAGGCGAUUCGAUCAGCCACAGAAGUACAAACCAUUUGUGAGUAGGUGCGUUGUCAAUGGAGAAGGCGGGGGGCUUGGGAUUGGAAGUGUCAGGGAAGUGAAUGUCAAAUCUGGACUCCCUGCUACGACAAGCACUGAGAUGCUUGAACUCCUUGAUGAUAAGGAACACAUUCUUGGAAUCAAGAUUGUUGGUGGUGAUCACAGGCUAAGGGUAUAUAUUCUAUAUCACUUUUUUUAAAAAAAUUUAUUUAUAAUUUUUUUUAAAGAUUCUCUUGCUAUAUAUAUGUUGUGUUUGUCUGAGAAUUAGAGAGAAGCAAAAUUGAUAUGUUCUUCAACAUUUUAUGUUUUUUCUCAUGGAUUAACUAGUUAGAUCACUUUAUCAUUCAAUUCUACAUGACUGAAUGUUUUGCUGUUUUUUCUGCAUUUGAUGAAGUGUUUAGUAUUUCCUUUUUCCAUUGGUGUUCGCCCACUGGAGAUUGUGCUGAAUCACCCUCUUAUGAACUUUUAUUUAUUUUUCAUUGAUGUUUAAUGGGUUGUUUCUUAGCAAUCUCAACUCCAUCAAGUGAAUGAUUGUCCUUACCUUCCAGUUAUCUUUGUUAAAUUUGGAAAGCAAUUAGAUGAGUGUAUGAAACUUCAUAUGGUAUGAAAUGGAAUCUAUUGAUUUCUGAUCUUGCAGUGCUUGCAUGUUUUGAGUUUAAAGGAUUCUUUUUUCGCUGGAACAGACAAUAUUCUAUUGCUUUUCUCUCACUCGUUUAUGUUCUUAUUAGGUUAUUUUAAUAUGGGGCCUUGAUAUCACUAGUGUGUAGUGUAGUUUAGCAUGACAUUGCACAUGGGAUUAAAGUUGGUUGUCAUCUUUUUUAUCUUUAUGCUAGCUUACAAGCGACUUGUGAAUUUUUCUCGCCCCUUAAAUUUUAAUUGAGUGGUGGAAUGCUUUCUGGUGGAAUAAUAUCACACCAGUAUGCUUGUGGGGAUUUUGUUUUUUGCAAUCUUCGAAAAACAUUUUUUUUUUUCCAAGUAGGCGAUCCACUUGUCUGCAAGAACAACUUUUGCUUGGUAUGGACAUAAUUUAUUCUCUGAGUAGGUGCAUGUGCAUUGGCAUUUGGAAUCUGUUGAUAAAAUUAAUCUUUAUGCACUGUGAUAUACUUGGUUAAAAUUUUAAGAUAUUGAGAUUUUGUGUUAUCUUGUGUAUAAAAUAACUAAAUUACCUCAUGUACUGCGCUUUUUUCUCUCUCUCUCUCUCUCUCUCUCACUCUUUUAAUUUCCUCAAUUGUCUUGAUUUUACAGAACUACUCCUCAGUUAUGACUGUCCAUCCAGAGGUUAUUGAUGGAAGGCCAGGGACGUUAGUCAUAGAGUCAUUUAUUGUGGAUGUACCUGAUGGCAACACCAAAGAUGAUACAUGCUAUUUCGUGCAGGCCCUCAUUAAAUGCAAUCUCAAAUCUUUGGCUGAUGUCUGCGAGAGGAUGGCUGUGCAGGACAGGGUUGAACCAAUUGACCGAUUCUGAACUGUGUGCAAUGAAGCGUAUUAGGAUGGCUGUGGAAUUUGAGGUUCUAAUUCCAGAGGCUUUGUAGAGAGAUUGGUGGGAGUAGUUUUCCUAUUUCCAGAAAGUUUUGCAUGCAGUGCUGGAUUUCCCUUUUUCACCUGAUAAAUAACCUUUCUACCUGCUUUGGCUUUGUUUGCUUGGUCCCUCAACAUUGAAGGUGGGGUUUCUCCUGUUUUAGCAAUUAGGUUCUUAGACAAUUUUCCUUGAACUUCCUAUGAAUGUGAAAGAAUCACUUCUUUUUCACCGUUGCUUUUACUAGUUUUAUUGUGGUAUGUAAAUUACUAUGCUCAUAUCUGUAAAUAUCUUUGUAACAAAGUUGUUGCUUUAUCAAAGUUGCAACUUCCACGUGCAGGGAUUUCUGGCUAAAAACUUCCAAGUAGCAGCAUUUUGUUGUUUUUAAUUACUGGUGUCUCUUUCUCAGCGAACUAAUUAUAUUUAAAAUGCUUCCCCUUGAACAGAUUUUAUGUGUGCUUCCAAUUAUCCGUUCAAGCAUUCAAGAACAAAAAUUGCUGUAAUUCCAACUGUUGCAUUUGCCCCUUUUAGAUUAAUUUAUGCCUAUAAAUUUAGCUAAAUAAGUACGCCAAAAACAGACGGACAGGCAGGCCCAGGGUACGUUAGGGAAAAGACAAGUCGCAUGGAAUCUGGUAAGUGUGAGGUGUCUAGAAAUCUUACCGGUGUGAGACAAUGACAUUUUUUCUAUCCUGGAUGGAAAACAUGAUGUGUAAUGAUAAGUUCGAAACUGAAGGAGAUGGUGACAAUUUUUUUUUUGAGUCUGACAAAUAAUUAUUUAGUUUACAGUAACUUCAACCAUUUAUUCGAGUUAAAUAGAUUUUAUUGAAUUGAUAUUUUUCAAGGGUUUGAAAUUGAACAAAUGUGCAAGUACAAUGGGAGAGGUACCGAGAAAAGCUGCUGCUUCUUCUAGAUUCGAUUGAAUUGAGUGUUACAUAGUUUCAUACAGACGUGAAGGUUUUGAGGCGUUGCAGGUUUCGGUCUUGGCUUAAAGUGAAACCAAAGAAUUGAUUAAAUCUAGAACAUCUUUCUUGCUUCUGCACUUUGUAGAUUUUAAAUGGGCUUAAGGUCACCGAACUCGGGACUUCAGGGUUUACGAAAUGAUAGAUCGUCCCUUUGGGAUUUUAAAUCAAACAAACGACUACCGGCUACUUGUGCAAGUGACAGAAAUUUUAAAACCACUGGUCGUUUUUAUUCAAUUUGAGAACUCUUUAAACGUGUAAUGGAACGACCAGCCGAGCAUUUCACAGGCAAGCUUUUCCAAUUAUCAAACAAGGAACGGCAAAAUAUUCUGGUUAGUUCCUUCCGACUUUUCUCCUCCUCGACAUCGAGCACGGACAUAACAGUCUGCAAUUUUCCAACCCCUCUUACAGUCUUUCUUUUCUGUGUUAGUGUAGUGAGUUUUUUUUUUUUUUUUUUUUUUUUUUUUUUUUUUUUUUUUUUUUUUUUUAAAUUGUGUCAUGGUAGAAUCGAUAUGAUUACUCCUCCUGCUAAUUCUGCUUGCUCAAAUCAGGUAUUGAUUAUUGUUUAAGAAGAAAAGGAAAAAUAUGGUGUAUAGUCAUUUUAUGUGUAACAAAUGGCCAAAUGCUAUUACCAGAAGUCAUUGCAAGAACACUUUCCAGCUUUGAAAUGAUGAAACCGAGCACCAUCUUUGAGGAAAAUCUCAACUCUCCGCGCCAGCGAAAUGAAUUUUGCUGCUGUAUGGCAAUCAGAACAAAUUCUUGAAUUCUUUAUCACUCUGAUUGGCGCACCAUUUCUUGUCUUGAUGAGUCCGUAAGUAAUGGCCAGUUUUUCCGUGUGACUUAGAAGAGCCUUCUCCUUUUCUUCAUCAUCAAUGUUCUGAUAUACACAGUUAAUGUCAGGCACAUACCCAAGUUUUUUCAUUUCAGAAACUAAGUGGUACAACUCAAAAUAUAUCUCCCCUUCAUCUUGAUGGGGUUUUCCCUCAGCAGAGAACACAUGAACAGUGUUCCCAAUUUGUAUCCAGCUCCAUACUUGCCGAUUUUUCACCCCUUUUUCGCACAUGAGACUUGUGAUACGCUCUACUCCCUCCCACCUCUUUGACAUGGCAUGUAAGUUCAUCAGAAGAACAUAAUUAGCAGAAUUAUAUGGUUCUAACUUGAAAAGUUCCUUAGCUGCUAUAUCUGCAAACUCCAAGUUUGCAUGGAUUCUGCAGGAUCCAAGAAAAGCACCCCAGAUAGUUGCAUCUGGCUUAAAUGGCAUUGUUUGAAUGAAAUCCCAGGCUUCAUCGAGAUAGCCGGCUCUUCCAAGAAGAUCUACCAUACACGAGUAAUGCUCAAUUGUUGGCUUUAUACCAUAAUCUUUGCUCAUACUAUCGAAGUAAUUCCAUCCUUCAUCAACUAGACCUGAAUUCUUGCAUGCAGAUAGCACCGCAGUGAAGGUUAUAGAAUCUGGUAAGAUACCUGCUCCGAGAAUUUCACGAAAAAGUGAAAUUGCCUCCCUUCCAAGGCCAUAAAUAGCGAAUCCCAUGACCAUGCAAUUCCAACAUGCUAAUGUUCUGUUCUUAGUCCGCCUGAAAACUUCAAUGGCACUCUUUAAGUCGCCUGACUUACUAUACAUGUCAAUGAGGGCCGUGGCUGUAUAUACAUCUUCAAUGAACCCACGUUUUGCACUGAAGCAGUGAAUUUCUUUACCUUUCUGUAAGAGAGAAAGCCCUCCACAGCUUCUGAGUAAGCUAGAUACAGUGGCAGAAUUUGGCUUAACUCUAUCUUGUUGCAUUUGGACGAAAUACUCUAAGGAUUCCCUGUAUUUACCCUUCUGCGAGCAGCCUGAUAUGAGAGCAGUCCAUGAAACUACAUUUGGAGUUAAUCCUGAAUUUCUGAUAUCAUGAAUCACGGCCAAAGCUUCCUCACUGUGACCCCACAUUGAGUACCCAGAGAUUAGGCCAUUCCAUGUAACUAAAUCUGGUAUGAUUCCUUCCUCUUCCAUAUUACUCAACAGUCUUUUAGCAUCAUCAAAAAGGCCCUUGUAUGCAUAUCCUGUAAUUAACGAGUUCCAAGCGAUGAUAUUCUUGUUCUUCAUAUUAUCGAAAAUUGCCUGAGAAAUUGUUAAACAGUUAUUCUUCAAAUACAUGUCUAACAACGAAGUUCCAACAUAUACAUCAUAGUCAAGUCCAUUUCUCAUCACAUAGCCAUGGAUUUCUUUUCCGAAUUUCAAGAGCCUCAAUUCAGCGACAGCUUGAAGAACACUCGUAACAGAACCUGAAUUUGGUCUAAAACCAGCAACUUGCAGUUUGCGUAAUAUUGUGAGGACUUCAUUAUACGAACCAUGGACAACAUGGCCUGAUAAUAGGCAAUUCCAGGUUAUUAUGUCAGGUUUUACACUAGAUGAUUCCAUCUUACGGAAAAGAUUCCAAGCAUCAUUUAAGUAACCUAGUGCAGAAUAGCUUGUUAUAAUUGAAUUCCAAGAAGACAAGUUGUGAUCUUUCAUUGAAUCAAAAACUUUUCUAGCUGGUUUAAUUUUGCCAUUUCUUGAGUACAUGCUAAUCAAGGAAUUGCAUAUCGAUAAGGUUGAUUCCAAAGCAAGUUUUAUAACAUACCCAUGAAUCUGCUUCCCUUCAUUGAGGGCUCUCUCCUUUCCACAGGCUUGUAGCAUCUUCACAAGUGUAAUACCAUUGGCUUUUGCAGAUGAAAAUUGCAUUUCUGUAAACAGUUCUAGAGCCUUAAAAUAUCUAUCAUUUUUGAGGUUGACAAUAAUCGUCUCGUUCCACAAGAGAUCAUCCCGAUUUGGCAUUUCAUAAAAUACAUGAUUGGCACUGUCAACACUCCAACAUUUAUCAUAAUAAUUCAAUAGUGCAAUCUUAACAUAUGUAUCCAAUUCGAAGCCUCUUUUGAUCAGAGUAGAAUGGACUUCCAAACCUAGCCACAUAUCCCUUCCUCUAGUGCAAAUUUUCAAAAUAACAGUAAACAUCCUACUAUCAAAGAUUACUCCUUUAUAAUGUAAUUCUUUAAAAACCUGGAGAAGUUCAAUUAGAUCACCACCAUAACUCUCAAAAUCCUCCAAGAAAGAAUUCCACAUAGUAUAAUUCCUUGCAAAACCUACAAAGAAUACCAUUACAGCGGACCUAAAAUCACCAACUUCCAAAUAAGAAGUGAUCAAAGUUUUCACCUUGGAAUCAGAUUUCCAAUUGUUGCACUUCUUUAUUAUCUGCGCAUGCAUUGCUUUAACUGAAGCUGGAGAUCUGACAUCACUUAUACUAUCUAAGAAUCGAAUAUUUGGAAAAUGGAUCUGCGAUUGAGGUGAUGGUGAGAUAAAGGGUGGAGUGGUUUCAGACGAAGUAGAAGUGGGGGUGACUGAAAGAGAAGCUGGUGAAUGGGUUCUUGGUUUAUGCUUGUGGGUUAGCCGGUUUUGGUUCAGUGGAGGGUUAUGGUGGCGAUGAUACGGAGAGAGCUUGUCCAUGGCGAUUGAAGUUAAUGUCGCGGAAGUGAUGAAAGAGGAAAGAGCCGUUAAAACUGUUAAUACAGAAUGGAACACGGACAUUGACGCUUGGAUAUCUUUAUUUUUGUUGAUAAGAUCUUCUUAUCUUCUUACACGUUGGAUUUUGGAGCCCGCCAGCUAAACGCACCGUAUCAGUUGUUCCAGAGUUCAAAACGACGGAAAGUUUUUUCCCCCAAAUUUAAUGGUAAGGAAACGUUACCCAAUCGUACUGACGGGAAAGCUCUCCGUCGUCUAUAACCGGCUUAGGAGUAUUCAUAAUUUCAUAGACUCCCGAAACUGUUCACAUUGUAAAUUCAAAUCAAUCCAAGCCGAUACAAAUCAUGAUUUUAAAAAAUUGUUCAAUUGAUUAUUUUGAAAAUAAAAUUAUCAAAUUUAAUUAUUAUAAGUUUCAUUUAUGUAAAUCUGUUGAAUUUAACUAAAUCGAACUAUGAGCACUCUGCCAUGAAUUUUAGAGUCGCAUCAACUAUCCCAUCGGUUGUUGAGUCAAAUCACAAACCAUAGAACCAAGAAGUAGGAACCCUCUAUUACUCACUUCUCUUCGAUUUCCAUGUAUGAAGAUUGUCAAUAGUAGAGGUAUUUAAGAAAUUUCCCGUCUAAGCGAUUUCAGUUGAUCUAAAACCACAAUUUUGAAAAAUUGAUAAUUUAAUUUGAUUUAGACAACAUAAACAAUUAGAAAUCAACGUCCUAUAAUUCCAUCAUCUAAUCUUACAUCCUCAAAUGUCUUGUUGGAUCAUUGUAGACAAUUCGACAGGUAAUUGGCAUAUUGAUAACUGAAUCUAUUGUCUAACAAAUAAUAACUAGAUGAAUGACUGUAAUUCACAAAUAAUUUAUUCCUUCUACAAAUUAAUUUUUCGAUGAAACAAUUCUCUUUUUAAAAUUAAAAAAUGAUGAAUUGGUUUUUCAAAAAAAAAAAAAAAAAGCAUAAAUAAUCCUAUUUACUUGCCCUUCAACAAUACAGCUUGCAGCAUUUUUUUUUUUUCUUUUUUUUGAGAGAGGGAUAGGCAAUAAUGUUGAAGUUGAAGAUAAUCAUGACAACUAUUAUCCACUCUCCCUCUAGACCUCGAGCCUGGGAUUUUACCACAGAUGGCUUGAAGCCUUGAGGGAGAGUGAACAAUGGCUGCCACUCUCCGGUCCUUUGUUAGCAAGACAUAGUCAGUUCAACCCCAAAGGCUCCCAGAUUGCUUCAAAGCUAACCCUACAAGAAACGGCAAAUCGGAAGCCCUUGAGGGAGGUGAAAAACCAAGACCUUGAAGAUCUAAAGUAGAACUAUGCCUUCUUGUAAUUCUGAUUCAAUCAAGCAAGAGCUAAAGGCCUAUUUAUAGGCCUCAAAAGCCUCACUUUGCUAAAGGACCCUAACCAGUCUUAAAAUUGUGUGGUUGUGUUUGUGAGAGAGUGAGCUAGGAAUGGUGGGACCUCCAUACCUCUGGCACUUGAUAAGACCGGCAUAAAAUAUAUCCUACAGGCAUCCCAACCAUGUCCACAGAGGUGUUCCAAACUCAAAUGGAUGUAAAGAAUCAGACACAAGCCAUUGCAAUAUCUCAUCAAGUCCAAUCAAGAACAAUUCCUAAUUCCAAUAUCCAGCAGAACAUAUCAGCUAUUGAUUCUCAGAUUAAUGUAUAUCAUAAAUAAUUCUAGGAAUCAGAUUCACUGUGUAAUAGAACAAACAGCAUUGGACUCAAAGGGCAUCAGAGAAAUGAAGGAAAGAAGUCUCUAUCCAGCGACAGAAAGAAUCUUUUUAUGAUUUCAUAUCAUCAUUAAAGUUUUGAAAGGGAAAUUAAAUUAUGCAUUUGUUAAUAGUCUUUAUACAAACACAGCACAUAAUGAAGCAUUCAUCCGCUAAAAUCAUCAUCCAAGCUCGCUUUCAGCAACAUUGAGAGCGGAUCACAUUCUAGUAGCAUUUGCAGAUGAUCCGGCAAGACAAUUCGUUCAUAACAAAGGAAAUGGUCUAUUAUGUUUCAGAAUGGACGUGAAAUUCUUAAUAGCAUUUAAUGUGAACCUUCAUUCGAUAAAUAUGAAUUGAUAAACAGCGUGCCCUGCAAAGAAUUGAUCAGAGAGGGAAAAAAAAGUGAGCAAGAGUUGCCUUUAGUUCAUUUAAUAAAACCAGCAACGAUGUUGGCAAUGAAAAACCUUUAUGUGAUUGUGUCUCAGGGUGCCUAUGGAGUGUCUUGCCUUUCAUUAGAAAGUUUGACAAUUCCAUCCAUGUCUACAUUUGCAACAAUUUCCUAAAUACAUUGUUCACAAACAUGUGUUGAGGCCUUACAAUAUUGCAGGAUGCUAUAGUUAAGUAGUCAAGUACAUCUUUCUCCCCUGAAAAUCUAUCUAUUAUGACCACCGGCCUAACGGUAGGCAACCUCUUGGAGCUAUAUCUUUGGACUAGGAUAGGGCCCUCAAUGCGUAAAGCAGAUUUGCAUCUCAUUCACCAACGUUCUCUUGGCCGGCCAUCUGGAAAAGCAGGUUCUGGCACCUUCUCUUCAUUCUUUGUUGACUUAUCUGAGUGGUUAAUUGAUUUGCUCAGAUGAAUUUUCACAUUUUCGUCAAAAUCUGGAGGUGUAUCAUCAUCUUCAUCACUCCAAUCGUCUUCAUAGUCAUUACCAUCAUCAUCGUCGUCGUCAUCAAGUCCAUCGCCAGCCAUGUAACUGUCAAUAUCAGACCAAUCUUCAACCUCCUCACCACUUCCAUCUUCUAGCUCAUCAGUACCAUUUUCUCUCUCAGCACCCCUGCUGGGAGCACCGUUGCUGGGAGCACCCCGCCUUGGAAAUCUAGGAACAUUAACAAGAGCACGAAACUUCUCUUUGAUAAGUAACAGGCGGUCUUUGUCAACCAAAUGAGAAUCACGAUAUGCUUCCCUGAGGAAAACUGAAUCCCUAUCACCCUUCAAGGACACGUAGAACAUAUCAGGGUGCCUUAUUAGCAUCCCCCUCACCUGCUGAGAGAAUCUGAACUCCUCUCGAAAAUGAGUAAGGUGAUCCACAAGGGUUCGCUUCUCAACAGUGAGACUCAAAAUCUCAUGCACAACCCCACAAGCAUGUUUUUCCUUCUCCGGUGUACCUGACCUCAAAUGGGAAAAAUCUGAAUAAGGAGAUAUGUAAGGCAUAUCUCUGAACUUAGAAAUAUUUCUCAUUUCACUCUUAGAAAGCUGUAAACCCUUGGGCAACUUCACCCUAUUGAAUUUUGGUGGUCUAUCAAUGAUGAGAUCUCUUUCUUCCAGUUCUCUAGCUCUGUUCUCCUCUUCUGAUAAUUCAGCAGCAGAUACUGCAAGCUCAGGAUCCCAAUGAGUUAAUUCUAGUGCAGGCCCCCUUUCAGUUGCAACAACUCUAAAAUAUUGUGGGUAUCUAUGACAUAUUGUGUCACGAAACUCUGUUGGUAAUCCAAAGUCCGUCUUCAAAUGGGCUAUUUUCUCCAACAAAAUCCGUUUCUCCAAUGACAUCAUCAAUAAUUUUCUUAGCUUAACAACCAGCAAAUCUUCCAUCUCAUUCCUAACUUUCAACUCCUCAAGGUAGAGUCUUUCUGCCUCAGGUGUCAGUUUGAAUUUCAAUGAAAAAGCCCCUUCUUGCACAAUAUCAAACACAGCAGGGAAUUUCUUCAACAAAGCAAUAAAUCGACGCUGUUUCUUAACACCCAAUUCUCUUCUGAACCUACCCAAUUGCCUAAGUUCCAUAAUUCUAUCAGGUUGAUUCACAAGAAUCUUCCUUAUCUUCAAUACUAAUUUAAGCUUCUUGUCCCUUUGAAUCACGUUAUCAAAGGGAAGUUCUUUUCGUCUCUUCACAACAGCUCUCACUGGUUGAAAAGGGACAUGGGUUUUUCUCAGGGUUCUACCAAAGGGACCAAUUUUCUCUUGAAAAACCAAACUUUUGCCCCAGAAGUGUGACCGUUCUAUUGUCGAAUUAGAUAAAUGGGAUUUAACUGAGAAGUUGGGUCUCUCAAGAAACUUAGAAUUGUAUGAGACGAAGAAAGGUAAAGAAUUAAAUGGUAAGGCAUUGGAAGAGGACAGCAAAAAUUUGAGUUCCAUGUUGAAGGACUAGAAAUGGAUAAAGAUUACAGUUGUAGUAAUACAGGCAACCAAGUAAUAGAAUCUAACAGAGAGUUGUAAGAGAAAUAAAAAAAGAAGAACAACUACCUGAUUUGAGGUGGAUGCUGAGGCUGGUGGUAGGGUUUUGGAUGGGCGACCUGAUUCUGGGUUUACCUGAAAGGGCAAAAACCCUUUGGCACAGAUAUUUUGCCUGUCUCUGAUUCUUCUCACUUGAAUACUUUCGUGGGACUUGAUGUUAAGAAACGUAGGGCUAGAACUGUCAUAAUGAAAGAAUGAUACGGGAGCGUUUCUUUUUGCACUAAUGCAAAUGACGGGUAUUUACGCAUUUCUGAGAUGUCCACAAGAUGCACGACCUGUCGUUCAUCAGCAUGUCACGCACUAUAUGGGCCUCACUGGCUUAGUGGGUUUUACGUACUUUUCUAAAGGAGUCCGCAGCCAGCACCAAUCACCAUCGAUCGUUCGAAACGCGUCAUUGGCUCUAGUUGAGCCAUAACGUCAGAGUCGUUUAAGUAACUAUGCAGGACGAACUUGCCUUUUGAAUGUUGACUAGCUGAAAGUGGCAUGUCGUUUGAUUGAAACCUCAGCAUCUGAUAUCCUCUCCUCCUGUUAGGAAAAAAAUCCUUUCGCCUGAUUGACUGAUUUGGCAGGCUUUGAUUUGAGGAUUGCUGUACUGCCGCUGGCGCCGUCCUCUCUUUAUUUUCCUCAACGGAAAUAACUCGUUAACUCAGCAGUGACUCGGCAGCAGUACAAAUGGCGAAGAGGCGAAACCGCCGAGGGGUACAGAGUUCCGAUCGCAGUCAAGCACACGUCGACAUAUCCACUCAAGUGGACCAGUUCGGUGAGUCAGCAGCUUCUGAUCGCAAGCUCUUCACCAUUUUCGUCGUCUUCUUCAUCGUAAUUCCUGCUCUCUCCGUACUCGUAUAUCGUAUCAAAUACGCUCCAAAUACGUACAGUAUGAAUACACAUACACACCAACAAAGCCUCGUUAAAAUUGAUGUGAAUUACCAAGAAAUCCUCAGUGUAAGAAUUUCUUUCCUUAGUCACUACAAUACUGUGUUAAGAUUGGACCUUGACGGUCAAAUUCGUCCUUAAAAGCAAAACGUUUCAGUUUCUGAAAUAUUUCAGGAGAAUUCAAAGGUUUCAAAGAAUGAAGCACAGCGGCAGUAUAAUUUUCCUACAUUAGCAUACAUUACUCCAUGGUAAGUCUUCUCUAAUUGAAGCUUAAUUAAUUGCAAAAUGCAGUAUAAAACUCUGUAGUUACAUGCGUUGAUGACGAUGAGGCAUGAAUUAUACUAAACUGUGUAGGAAUUCUAAGGGCUAUGAAAUGGCAAAGAAGUUUACCAAUAAGUUUACCCACUUAUCACCUGUCUGGUAUGAUUUGAAGAGGUAAGUUUUGGGGUACCUAAUUGUUCAUGAAAUUUGUGUCAAAUUUGAAGCUAGCAACUGACAAAUUAUGAACUGCUUUAUUCUUUGUGUGUCCAGCCAAGGUAAUGGCUUAGUUCUGGAUGGAAGACAUAAUGCUGAUCAAGGAUGGCUCUCGGCGCUCAGAAGGAAAGGAGAUUCUCUGGUAAGGCUAUGUAGUUCUCUUCUUUGUUACGGGAAGUAGUUAGUUAGAUUGCGGCUUUGGUAAGUACGUGAAGCAAAUGCUGCCGAAUUGUAUGGAAACAUUUUAUCUUGUAAGGAAGUUUCUAAUACUUGGACUCGGUCUUUGAUAACUUUGGAGUAAAGCUUCCGAAAUUAAGGGUUUAGACGUCAAAGCCAGUGAAGAAUUUGUUUGCACCUUGAAUGGCAUUGGUGGGGUUGCUCAUGGGGCUUUCUUUUUUCAUCCUAAUAAUUGGAAUGUUGUCUUAUUUCAUUAUUUAUCUUGUAUAAAUCUAUAGAUUUCUUAUAAUGUCGAAUUAGCUUUUUGGUUGUAGGUUUUACCUAGAAUCGUUCUGGAAGCAUUUCCAAUGGAGAUACUUACGAGGAAGAAACUGAAAGAUAAAGCUAUUCAGCUUAUAGUAUCAGAGUGCAUGUAAGCUCCCACAUAUUUCAUGUUAUUACUGUUGAAACAAGACCAUGUCGUAGGACUAUUAUUCAUCAGGUAGAUGUUAGAAUAUCAUACUUAGGUUUUUGUAACUAUACGCUAAACACGUCUUGUUUACUUUAUUUAUCUUUGUCUAGCUUUCAUAUGAAGUUUAUGAUAAUCGAAAACAAAUUUACCAUUUAUUGUGAUAUAUUUAUGGGAGGAGGAAGUGAAGUUUGUGCAAUUUCCUUGCCCACAGACACACUGACGCAGGACUAACAAAUGAAAAAUACCAAGUAAUACAACUCUAGGAAUUGGACUGUAACUCUUAUUUUACAGUACUGCAUAUUUUGGUUUAAAAUUCAGAUUAAUAUUUGAUCCUUCUACCUUGGUGUCAGGAUAGUUCGGUUCCUCAAAACUAUCCCUCUUUUUUCUUUUUUCUUUUUUUUUUUUUUAAAAAAGAAAACUUUUGCUGCUCAAACUAUCCCUCUUGUAGCAGGGUUCUCCAUAAUUGGUCUUCUUUCCUAAAACUAGUAUUGGUCAAUCUUGCAUAACAAUAAACUAAGUUCUUGAAUCAGGACGCCUACAGGCUGGUGUGGAAUAAUCAUUGAAGGUGUUUCAAUUUUAUUCAAUAAAGGCUCUCAUCUCAAUGUUGUCUAAUUUACGUCAUGAACUGACAUUAUCAACUCGUCUAUAUUAUGAACCUUCAAUGUUAGAACUUUCUGGAGUCUCUGCUUUUUCUAGUCCAGGUUUCUGGUCUUGCAUAUGAGUCUUUGCUUUUUUAUUCUCCUUUAUGAGUAGGGAAAUGGAAUAUGAUGGCAUUGUGCUGGAGUCCUGGUCCAGGUGGGCAGCUUAUGGUGUUUUGCUUGAUCCAGAUAUGCGGAAUAAGGUAAUUAUUGACUUCUAUUUGCUACCAUGAUGAUAAUAUAUUUCUGCGAGGAUCUAAAUUUCAUAAUGUUAAAUAUAAACUGGAGACCUUUUAUUUAGUUAGCCGCUAUAUUAUGAAUUGUAGGUCUUAUUUGUAAAUUGAGAUGAUAAAUGAAAAGCAGUUCUCUUUAUAAUGUACUGGACUCUCUGGUUUUUAUGCUUGAUACAUGGUCUAAAGGUUAAUAUAUCCAAGGUAGCUGCCCAGACAUGUAAAAUUUUCCCCUUCAUAUAUGCUAGUGUGUGAUAUCCAGGUGUUCACUAGAAGAUGGAGAUAUGAAAAUUGUCUGUACUUUUAAAAAUUGUGGUUUUUACGAAAUCUUAUUGGUUUGCAAGCGUAGGCCCUGCAGUUCAUAAAACAACUUGGUUAUGCACUGCACUCUGUGAUCUCUGCAAGGAACAAUGACCAACCUUUACAGUUGGUGUACGUUAUAGGUCCACCACAAUUGGAGAAGCGUCAAGUACAUGACUUUGGUCCCAAGGAUCUUCAAAGCUUGAAUGACGCUGUAGAUGGUUUCUCACUUAUGACCUAUGACUUCUCAAGUCCUCAUAAUCCUGGUCCAAAUGCACCUUUGAAGUGGAUCAGAUUCACCUUGCAACUGCUUCUUGGUGACACUGGCAGUAGUGCCCGGACCCUAGCCAAUAAGAUAUUUGUUGGCAUCAACUUCUACGGAAAUGAUUUCCUCCUUUCUCGAGGUACUUUUUGGAGUUUGUUCUUGAAUCUUUGUUAUGCCCAUUAAUAGCCUGUUGGUGAUUCACCUGGAGAAACCUGAGUCUGACUUCCAUAAGUUUGGACAAGAGAGCAAUAAGCAUUUAACUGGUGACCCAAUCAGGGUGAUUUCAAUUUUAAAAUUAUAAAAUUAACCUUUGAUACUUUCGAGUAAAUAUUUUCACUUCAAGAUCUCCAGUUUGAUCACUAUUGGCAUUCAAAAGCAAUUUUUAAAUUGGUCAUAGACCCUGCAGGUUCUGGUGGUGGAGCUAUCAUUGGGAGGGAUUACCUCUAUCUACUGGAGAAGCAGAGGCCUAAUUUGGAAUGGGAGAAAGACAGCGGGGAGCAUUUUUUCCUAUACGUUGAUGACGAGGAUAAAAAGCAUGCAGUGUUCUACCCAUCGCUAAUGUCAAUUUAUCUGCGGUUAGAGGAAGCUCGUUUAUGGGGAACUGGUAUCUCAGUUUGGGAAAUUGGGCAAGGUCUGGAUUACUUUUUUGAUCUAUUGUGAGCAGCAAUGCUUUUUUCGUCAAGGAAAAGAAGGAACCUUUUAUUUUAUUCAUUCAUUUACAUUUGCUUUUGCAUAUGCAUGUACUGUAGGAAUUUUUUAUCUUCUUCAAGUGUCAAAUAUUUUGGUAAGUUCAGAUUCAGUUGAUGGACUUUGUUGGCCAGCGGCCAAGAUCUCCACUCUAUGCAAUUCUUGGUUUGGUGGUUCAUUUUCAACUGUUGCUUGACCAUAUAUUUGAUUCUAGAGGGAUACUAUUAACAGGCUUUUUUUUUUUAAAAAAAAAAAAAAAAAUUGGAACUGAAUAUUCAUAGUUUAAUGGCUUAUAAUCAAUCUAUGAUUUUUCUCUGAUACACAACUAUGUUUGAUGCGGAUGCGGUAGCCUGCAUGCUACUGUGCCUGAUAUGCUAGCCUAAAUUUAUGAUUGUUAACAGCCGAUCUCCAGUCUUCCAUUAGAUUGUAAGAGCCGCUUCUAAUGGUGUGUUCUAGGCUUCCGUGUCGGGGAAUUUCCGAUGAAUUCUAAAACCGGUAAUUAAAUCUUAUAACUUAAAAACAAUGGUUUUCCAUCAAUUCAGUAUCAGCAAAUUAAUGGUGAAUGAUUUAUUUAUGUAUUUUUGGUUUGUUCGUUAUGAUGAUCAGAACUUCAGAAUUUUAUUUCAUCGACUAGCAAGUGGACAUUUGGUACUGCGAAAUUGUGGAUUUAUGUACUAUAGCCUCAGAAGAGUUUGGUUGCAUUUCUCAGCCACACAAUCUUCACACGCGUAAGUGAUCAAGCCAUCUAAAACCCAGAUGAUCACCGACUCUCAUCCACUUCCACGUGUCAAACAAUGAGUGGAAAACUUAAUAAUCUCCCCUGCCACGUCAACUCCUCCCUCCACUAAAAGUAUACCAGUAAAUUACACUCAUUGAAGCUAAGGGUUGUCAUCCUCUGCUUCCUUUCAGUCCAGUCAUCCUAAAACCAACAAAAAUCUGCAAUAAAAUCUCAUUCCUCAUGUAGGUUCAAGCCUUUGCACAAUUUCUUUCAUAAGAAAGGCCAAAAUUUUGUCUGUGUUAGUAUUAUGCCAUGGAGGCCCUCAAUGCAGCAAACUUGACCCCAAUAUCUGUUCUUUGUGAAAAAAGAGCAGAACCCAGAAAAUUUUUGUGCCUUCCUACCACUUCACCACUCAAAUUUUCAAGCUCUGCUUCUAUAAGCACAAACCCACCUACAAUACAAGAGUGUUUAUCAAGGACUUUUCAUGGGAGUCUAGUGCUCUUAUCUUCAGUUCUCAGUACUGGGCUAGCUAAAGCUUUAACAUACGAGGAAGCACUAGAACAGUCAUUGAGCAGUCCUACAUCAGAUUUUGAUUCCAGUGGAGUUCUUGAUAGUGUUAUCAGUUUUGCAACUGAAAACCCUACCAUUAUAGCUGGUAGUGUUGCAGUUUUGGCAGUUCCAUUGAUUGUAUCUCAAAUUCUAAAGAAACCCAAGUCAUGGGGUGUUGAGUCUGCGAAAAAGGCUUAUGCAGUAUUGGGUGAUGAUGCAAAUGCUCAAUUACUUGAUAUUAGAGCGCCAGUGGAGUUCAGGAAAGUGGGUACUCCCGAUAUCAGAGGUUUCAAAAAGAAGCCUGUGUCAAUUUUUUACCAGGGUGAGGAUAAGCCAGGUUUCUUGAAGAAGCUGUCUUUGAAGUUCAAGGAACCGGAGAAUACUACAUUAUUCAUUCUCGAUAAGUAAGAUUCUGAAACCAUUUGUUGUUUUCUGUUAUUCAGAUUUCAUUUCACGAUCACAAGUUAGUUAGGGAGAGCUUUUAUAGAAAUUUUAAAUUAGACCAUUAGAUUGUGCUUCAUGAAAUUUAUCUCUUGAUGCACUGAUUUCAGGAUUAUAUCAAGAAUUGGAUAUCCGUAAUAAUAAAAUUAGUGUAUUUAAAAGAUUUUGGCUUUCUUUCUUUUGUUUUUUAUCUUUUCAAGGAUUAUAACUGUUGCCUUGACGACAGAAAUAAUUGCAGAAUAGAAAAAAUUUGGAGGUUUAAAAUAUUCAACCAACUAUUCAGACACCAUUACGUAAUAUAAGAUUAGACUGCAUAAUCUUUGGGGGGCUGAGAGAGGUUGACACAUGAAAACUUUUUUUAUCUUGUAGCCCUCUAUUUCUUUUUCUCUUUUGCGUGUAUGUAUGACCGCGCCACAUACCAGUAUUUGUGGCGAUGCAGAUAUGAAAAAAGUUCCCUUUAUGAUUUCCUCACAUAGAAAAAAAUAUCUAAUUAGAGUUUCUGCUUGGUUGUUUGUGAUUAAAGUUACCAUAUUAAACUAUUGUAGCAAAAUUUAUGAUGAAAGCCAGAUUUGAUGGGAACUCUGAACUGGUUGCUGAGUUGGCUGCUGUAAAUGGAUUUAAAGCUGCUUAUGCCAUAAAAGACGGAGCAGAAGGACCCCGAGGAUGGCUGGUACUUUCUGGUGUUUUAUUUCUGUUCUUUUUUCUUUUUUUUUUUUUUUUUUAAUAUUUUGGUGUCCAAGUUCAUUUGUCAUUUGACAUGAGAAGCAAAUAGUAACUUUCAGAUGGACUUUCAUUUUGCAGAAUAGUAGUCUUCCUUGGAUACCACCAAGUAAGGGAUUGAGUCUGGACCUUAGCAAUUUCUCACUUGGAGUAUGUGCCUUAAUGCCUUCUCUAUUUAUCUUUUGGCUGUAAAAUUUUAACUUUGUUACGCCAGUUAAUGCCUUCUCUAUUUAUCUUUUGCCAUCAAAAUGAUAAAUGAUAUUUAUAUAUGUUGAUACAAUAAACAUUAAACAGCAUCGAAUGUGGUUUAUGGAGUAUUAAAAAAAAAACCCGAUGUGUGCAUUUGAUCUUUUCUGGUGAUAGGACCUUCCUUAUGUUGAUUAUAUCAACAUGAAAAUGUCAAUAUAAAUGAGCAGUAAAAAAGAUUGGGGCGGACGGGGGAGUGCUUAAAUAACUUGAUUGGACCACUACAUACGAGAUGCCAAACGUAGAUUCAUUGUAAAGACCAACGUUCAUCCUCAAAAAAAAGAAAAAAAAAAAAAAAGGUUUGGCGGAUUUGCUUCAAGCUAGAGGAAUGAUAAAGGCAAUGGAAUGCCUCUGAGGAUGUCACUUUCAUGUCUGUAUAAUCAACAUAAUGAAGGUCCUGUAAUGAGAGACAAAUGUGAUUAUUAUCUUCUUGUUUUAGUGUAAAAUCCGGAGUAGCUAGAUCAAGCAAUAUAUCUUCUAGAGGAAUGUAUUAAUUCCCUGUUGAAUUCCUGGGCUCCUUAGUUUUUCCAUCAAAUCAAUAUGAGAUGAAGCAUAACUGUUAAUAAAUCAUUAUACAUAGUUACUGCAAAGCAUCAGGAACUGUCAUUUUGAAGAUCUUCUUUAGUAUAACAACAACAACAACAAAGCCUAAAUCCAAAACUAGUUGGGUCAGCUAUAUAAAUCCUUAUUUUUAUCAAUAUUUGCUAAAAGUAUAUGAUAAUUUAGUUAUACAACUGGUAAAUUACUUGUACUGGAUUUCUUUCUUUCUUUUGUUCCUUUAUAGGAGAUACAUUGAUUUUGUAGAUUGGCCACCUUCCGUGGAACAUUUUAUAAUUGAUAGCUUCUGUAUGCUAAUACAGAAAAAUUUUUGCAGGACGACUCUGGCACGCUGCCUGUCGCUGUUGGGAUAGCAGCAGCUGUUGGCUUAGGUGUAUUAGCAUUCUCAGAGGUUGGCUUGUAAAGUAUUUUCUUCAUUUCUUUUCUUAUGAUCAAUGAAGGGAAUUUGUGAUAGUAGAUGCAAGAUUUCAGUUUUUUCUACAUGUUUCCAGAUAGAAACAAUACUUCAAGUAUUAGGCUCGGCGGCAAUUGUCCAGUUUGCAAGUAAGAAACUCCUGUUUGCAGAGGUAGGUCUUUGGCACCUUUCUGAACUCUAGUUAUUUCCGUAAGUUCUGUUGCCUUGAAGAAAAUUGUCAUGUAACAUACAGUUCUGAAGCCCGGUUGGAUUGGAAUUGAACUUUUUUCAUCGAAUGUGCGCUAGGUUGUGUUAAAUUUUAGUGGCUAACUCAAAAGCUCGUCCUCACAGACACUGACAGGAUAUAUGCCUCGAAAUACAUUCUGCAGUCUGUACCUAACAGUUGUACUCACCGUGACAUGAACAUAUAAUGCGCUCCUAGAAUAUAAAACAGGUUCUUUUUGAAAAACCAUUCUGAAAUAAAUAAAUAAAUAAGUAUACCACCUCUUUGUUGAUGAUAAAAAAUUAUUAUACCUGAAAUAGCAUCUGAAUAUAGAUUUUUCCCUAUACUCCGGAUUCUAAAUCUUUGUUUAUUAAAUCACAAAGGUACAUUUUCACCAUGAUCUUUUACCUUUCAUGACAGGACCGUAAGCAAACUCUUCAACAAGUUGAUGAAUUCCUGAACACCAAGGUGGCCCCAAAAGAGCUUGCUGAUGAGAUAAAGGUACUUAAACCCAAUAUUUAAAACUUAGAUAGUCUUUUAUGUAUUGAAACGGUAAGCCAAAAUGGUGAUCUUCUUUUGAAUGAGAUGGCAUUGCUUAUUGACCACGACCGUUACAUCGUCCUCUUUUUUUUCCUUUGUUUGUGUAAAAAUUACAUUCAGCAAAUUGGAAAGGCUCUCCUACCAGCCGCUGUGACAAGCAAGGCUCUUCCUCCUCCAGUAGAAACAAGUUCAGCACCUAAUACUGCACCUGCCGUAGAUACCAAUGUACAAAAUGCAGAAGCUUCUGCUGCCGAUAGUACGGUACAAAAGGCAGAAGCUGCUGUGGAGCCAGCUCCCCAAAUAAAUUCAGUGAAAGCAGAAUCAGUUUCUGCAUUUCCAAGGCCACUUUCACCUUAUCCAUCUGUAAUUCUCCUUUUCAACAUUUCAUAUUUCAUCAACUUUUCUAAGUUUCUAUCAUUUUCCGUCUGUUUUAAGCACUGAAUGAAAAUGUGCCUUUUCUGCAAUGUAGUAUCCAGAUCUGAAGCCUCCAACAUCUCCUACUCCGUCGCAGCCCUAAAGUUAUAGUUGCAUUGAAGUCUUCAAGUGGGUUCCUACAACAGGCAACUGUUUUGCUGGGACUUUAUAGGGCUAUUUUGUGAGUUAUCCAGUCUGUGCUCCUGAUAUCUAAAUUUUUCUAUCUUAUGUGACCUUAAAAUAAGUCAUGAAACAGAUGAUUUGGGGUCUGCCAACCAAUAUGAUUGUGUUUCUUUUAGCUCUUUUGUAGCUUUGUGGAUCUUUUGUAGUCGUAGCUCAUCGUUAACACUCUUUACAUUACUUGUCUGUGUGCAAACCGUUUGUAAUUUUUACUGGGAUAAUGACAAAUGAAUUGGAUGAAAUGCUAAAUCCAAGAUUUCUUAUAAAUAAAAUAAUGCAUUUCGUCCUUUUUACUUAUUGAGUGAAGUAAUGUUUGAUCGGAUGGUGGCAAGAAAGUCGGGCAGCCGCACAAACUAAUCCAAUGGUAAAUCAAAAUUUUCCUAAUGAAAAUUGAACAGAACAGAUAAAUAAAAAUCAAUUUAGUUCAGUUUUAACUGAAUUUUGCAGUGAUUUUUUUAAUUAAUGAAAAUCAAGUCAAAUAUAACUAAAAAUAAAUUGUUUAGCUAAAUUGGUGAGGUUUGGUUUGUCUUUUUACUAAUGAGAAAAUUAAAAAUCUCUAGUUUAAACUUUUAUUAUAAGAUUUUCACCGGUCUGAUAAGUCAAGAGGAGCAUCACUAUGUUUUGUAUUAAAUUAUAUUAUUUCAGUCCAACGAAUCUCUCAAUUAUUAAUAAAAAAAAUGGCACGACAGACAUUUGUCAAAGUCGUUUUGGUGUAGUUUCAUUUCAUGGGCAACCAGCCACUAACGCCUAACGGGCAGCAAAUUCAAAAUGAGAUAGGGCGGCAAAGCAUUAUACAAAAGCCCAGACUAUUUUAUAAACAAAUAUUAUAAGGUUAUGAAAAAUAUAAUAGUUGAAAAAAAAAAUCCAAAAUAAAUAAUCUGGACUGAAUAACAGGAGCUAUCUUUUCAACUCCUCCGAUGGCCAGAGUCAAACAUAAGGCUCCUCCCCGGACCCGAAGUGGGAGAAAAUCGAGUCAGAUCUCUUUCUCCAUGUAUUUCUUUCCGGUAAUGGUUUUCGUUUUCCCUCUUUAAACCCUAACUUUCAUUUUUGUCGCAGCUGAAAGGGCGAAUGCGCCAACUCCAACCUCAACGCCAAACUCGGUACUUCUCUCUCUUUUUCUCGGAUAUUGCACUAAAUAAUUUGUUCGUUUACCUGUUUAGUUUCUGAGAAAAUGCUUGAAAACAGUUCAGAAAAACUGGAAUAACCUAAAUUCAUUUAGCUGUGAAUUAUACAAUAGAAAUGAAAAACUUUAAUCUAUGCUUUUCUUAGCUACUGAACUCAACUUCCCUUUGCUCUCUAUUCCAUGUGUCGGUCACUUCUGCUGUUAAUAAACGAGACGAAAUGAAAUAAAUUGUAAAAUUCUUUCAAAUUAAAAGAUUAUAUGGAUUUCACUUAGUUUAAUCGACAAUUUCCCUAAUUCUCGACGGAGCAAGAAAAUUCAGCUUCGAACACUAAACGUAGUCUUUGAUCUUUGCACGUUAUGUUAAACUAAAAUAGUUAUGUAGUGUCUUUAUCCUUUUGAAUUCUAUUUUUCUUUAAUUCGAAU